ACUCAAACUACCUAUGCAGCUCCUCUCUGCGAGACUGUGGCACAUACUUCUCCAAAAAAAGAACGGAGAAUUGCUGCCAGGUAAGGGGUGCUGCACCAACAGGCCUACACUUCUCAUAACCCUCCUACCAAGUGAAGGCAAUUGCAGGAAACUAAAAUGUGGUGAAAGUGACCCCGCUAGUCUCCAGAAUACCCACUGUACGAAGAAUCCUCUGACGCUUGUCCAAGAAACCCUAGGCAUCCUCAACCUCUACACCACUCCAACCUGCGUUGCUCGUCCUCUGGCAUGGCAGGAGCUACAUAAUCCUGAGUAGCUGCAACCAGCUGAGCUGGAUGUGCCCCCGGUGUCUGAAGUCCCUACACGACCUUCUUAGGUAUGCGAGCAGUGGGAGUCUGAGUGACUCCUCCGACCUGAGAAGUAGCUGCGGCUGUAGUAUCUGAGACCACCUGAGCUAGGCCAGUGUAUACUGAUUGAAUCUGAGCCAGGGCAUCUUGAAGACUCGAAAUCACAAUGGGCACAACUGGUGCAUGAGCUGGUGCUGUUGGAGCGUCCACAACUGGGACCUAAUCUUGAACUGGGCCAGCUGGUAGAUCUGCAGGUGCUGCCCUAGCUAUUGUGCGGGCUAAAUCCCUGCCCUACCACGACCUUGAUCGCGUCCUCGGCCUCUAGUGGCCACAGCUGGUGGUACUGAUGGUCGUCCAUCCUGACCGGUCGCUCGUGUCCCCACCAUCUGGGUGAGAAUAGAAUAAUAGAAGUUUAGUACUCGGAUCAACAGAUUCGCACAACAAGAAUUUCAAGAAUAUGAUGUUUUUCCUAAAGGUUCUGUAGCCUCCCGAGGAUAAAUAUAGACGUCUCUGUACCGAUCCGCGAGACUCUACUAAACCUGCUCAUGACUUGUGAGACCUAUGUAACCUAGGCUCUGAUAGCAACUUGUCACAACCCAAAACCCGGACCGGGUCGUGAUGGCGCCUAUCGUAAAACAAGGCCAGCCGACACAACUCCCAGUUCAUUUUUAACAGUUAUAAUAGUUCAAUUUAAAUCAUUAACAUGUGAUAAAUCCUAAAAAAAGUGUAAUAGAACAAACAUAAAAAUUAACACAGCCCGACAUCAGGGUGUCAUCGGUCAUAAGCAUCUAACAUAAGUCUAAGAAUAUGGUGAAGUGACUACAUAAUCUAUUACAGAAUCCAGUACAAAGGAAAAUAAAGAUAAGAGGGAGAAACACUGGCUGUGAAUGCCGAGCAGCUACCUAGUGAACUCCAAAAUAGCCCGCUAGAAGCAGUCAGCCCUCACUAGCAAGACCCGAAGUUCCUGAAUCUGCACACAUGGUACAAGGAGUAAUGUGAGUAUGCUAACUUAGUGAGUAAUAAAAGUAAAAGCAGCUGAGUGAUAAGCGUCAACCAUCCGAAAUCACCCCGAGGCCCUCGGGACCUCAAUCAAAAGAACAAACAAGUCAUAUACAACUAUUAAAACUUAUACCAAUCUUCAAAACACCUCAAACAACUUCUAAUCAAACAAAAUACAUCGGAUUCAAGCCUAAGGUUCCAAAAUCUUCCGAAUUUCGCUUUUGAUCAAAACGUCUAUCAAACCACGUCUGAAUGACCUGAAAUUUUACACACACGUCCCAAAUGACACAACGGACCUACUGCAACUCCCGGAAUUCCAUUCCGACCCCUAUAUCAAAAUCUCACCUAUCAACCAGAAAAUGCCAAAAUUCUAAUUUCGCCAAUUUAAGCCUAAAUCUAUUACGGACCUCCGAAACACGUUCCUAUCACACUCCUAAGUCCCAAAUCAUCUUCUGAAGCUAUCCAAACCAUCAAAAUUCAGAUCCGAGCCCUUUUUACACAAGUCAACAUCCGGUUUACUUUUCCAACUUAAGUUUACUCAAAAGAGACUAAGUGUCUCAAACCUUACUAAAUCAUUUCCAAGCCCGAGCCAACCAACCCGAUAACACAUAAUACUACUAAACAAGGUAAUAAGAAGCAUAAAUGGGGAAAACGGAGUGGUAACUCAUGAAAUGACCGGUCGGGUCGUUACAUUUGGUGAACGAGUGAAAACCAAAGGGUUGUUGUUGGUAAGCGAGUGAAAACCAACCCUUGUUUGUUGUUGGUGAGCGAGUAAAAACCAAUACUGUAAACGUUGGUGGUUAACGUUGAAAAUCACACAAGUUGUACUUAACCCAAAUUACAGAGAUCUCAAGAGAUAACAUCCUUGCAACCCAAGGAGACUGGAUUAGGAUACCACAUUGGUUCUGAACCAGUAUAAAAUUCCUGGUGUCAUUUAUUUUACUGCUCUCAUAUUUUACUAUACACCUUUACUGUUUGUUAUGAGUAGUACCUGUUUAAAUUAAAGUACUAACAGUUUUGGUGUAGGCUGUCUCCGCAUAGGUUAACUAGGAUUGAAGAGUAGUCGACUAGAAAUUUAAAAAGACUACAAUUCACCCCUCCCCCUUCUUGUACUUUCAAUUGGUAUCAGAGCAGGUCUCACAUCUUUAUUUUUUUGCUUAACAAUAACUGAGAAAAUAUCCAUGGCACAUCAUCAAAUUAUUGGUACCGUACUUCAAGAGGGAUACUCAGCAAGAAGGCCACCGUACUUCGAUAGUCAAUACUAUAGCCAUUGGAAGGAAAGAAUGAAUGUUUAUGUCCAAUUAAUAGAUUAUCAAGCCUGGCUAAUUAUUCAAAAUGGACCAAGACUUAUUCCGAAAUAUAGUGAUGGAAAGAAGCUUGUAAAAAGGGCAUCCAUAUUUGACUACACAAAAGAACAGUUGGAUAUUAUGCAAACAAAUGCUAGAUCAAUCAACAUGCUCUAUUGUGCGAUUAGUGAAGAAGAAUAAAAGAAAAUAUCCAUAUGUGAGACUGCGAAAGAUAUAUGGGACAGAUUGGAAAAUAUCCACGGGAAUGCCAACAAAGUUAAGGAAAAUGAAUCCACGUCAACUCUUGAAGAAUCCGAAAAUGGUGAAGAUCAAGAAGACUUGGCCGUGAUACCCAGUACUAGAAAAAGGAAGAGUAGAAAGAAGCAGAAUAGAAAAUCUCAAUCCAUCCAGAAACAUCAAAAGAAUAGCAAGAAUGAGGUUCAACAACAAGAGAACAUAUGCUACUACAAAUGUGGUAAACCUGGAGAUAUGAAAUUAAAAUAUCCCAGUCGUAAGAAGAAAAAUCAUAGAAUCUCAACUUGGAGCGACGAGGAUGAUCAGGAAGAAAUGACAAACAUAUGUCUCAAGAAAAAAGGAGAAACUGACGAGGUGCACGUUAAUGCUAUUCUGGAUUGUGAUCUCAAGAAAAAGAAUCACAAAUCUUGGAGCACCAAGGAUGAAUCUGAAGAAGAAAACAAUCACGAAAGAAUGGAGAAUCAAUGGUUCAUGGCAAUGGGAGAAAUUAAUAAGGUAUGUCUCACUCCUAUUACGUAUUGCGAUAAAUAUGAUGAAUAGCAGGAUAAUAUCGAAUUAGUUCUCAAUGACCUUGAGAAAGUUCUAAAUGAAUAUAAUAAGUUGAGGAAGGAGAAGAAGAAUUAGGACAUCCAACUUGAAGAAUAUAACAAGUUGAUACAUGAAAAGAAAGAUUGGGAGAUCAAACUUGAAGAAUAUAACAAGUUGAGAAAUGAAAAGAAAGACUGGGAUAUUUAGCUUAAAAAAUAUCUGGUGGAGAACAACUUACUUCAAGAAGAAAAUUUUGAGCUUCGCAAACAAAUAAGCAGCUUACACAAAUCCCCUAGCCACUACUUUGAUCAAUCAAAGUCGUCUCCUUCGCUUAAUAGCUAUAAGUCGACUAGAAAGGAUCUACUGGUAAACUUCCUACUUUGAACAAGUUGACUGAGGAAAGUUCCAAGUAAACUAAUAAGGUAGUUGCAGGUAAACACUUUUCUUCUCAUAUUCAUGCCAAUAUUGUGGCAAUUCUGGACAUAAAGUAUUUACAUGCAAUUAUGCCAAAAGUUAAGUUAGAUCAAAAUAUGUUUGGAGACCUAAACAGUUAUAUGCAUCUCGAAUUACACAAUCUACUAACCAUGAAGGACCCAAACAAAUUUGAGUACCAAAAAUAAAUUAAUUUGUUUUGCAGGAAUUAUGAGUCCAGUCAUAAAAAGGGAUAAAUGACAUUUGCAUAAUGGCUGGUCAAGGCACAUGCUUAAAGAUGCUUCAAAACUCAUACAUACUCUAUAAAUGAUGAAGGAACUAUUACACAUGAUGGUAAAGCUUAAGUGAUUGCUAUCACUAAAUGUUAUUCAAGUUCCUUCGGAUUCUUUAUAAGGUGAUACAUAUCUAGUAAUAUUUUUUUGUUAAUUAUAAUAUGAUACGUACAACUACAUAUUGCUUGAGUCGACUAGCUUCAACAUACUACUAUUAUGUUUGGUGUUAAUCUUAUCCUUGACUUAGUGAUUUUGAAUAGAACAAAUUUAUAUAUUGCAUGAACCAUGCCAUUUAUAUAAGCAUUAGGAUAAGCAAGUAUGCAUACAUUCCUUUCAUGUAGUUGUGAGCUUAAGAUAAUUUGUGAAGAGAAUUACUUCUUAUAUCCAUUCUCUUGGUGAAAGUUUCAAUACUUCAUUCAAAUCUGAGAAGGUUGUUUAACCUUGAUGCCUCGGUAACUUGUGCAUGUGGAGAUAGUCUACUAUUCCUAAGACUCAAUAGCUUGGAAGGUACAUAUAUGUUUCUAUUGAUGAUUAUCCUUACUUUUGCAUAGGUCAUAUUUAAAUAAGAAAAUGAUGCAUUUGUAGUGAUCAUCGAUGUGAGUUUUAAUAGUAUUUGUUUGACAUUUUCUUGCAACAAGCAUGAUCCUUCACAUUUUUAGUUUGGUGCCUCAGUUGAAAUCAGACUUGAAAAGAAAGCAUCAUUUUUGCAUAAAUUGCCAUCAUUGGCUUAUAUGUACUUUAAUGUUUUUCAUUGGAUCUUAUGUUGAAUGAAAAUCUGUCUGAACUAUGGGAAGGAAGAAAAAUCAAUUUUUGGUUAUCUUAUUUACUUUGGUUGCAACUGUCUUGGUAAGGCUCUUGACAUAUUCCUUAUUCAUUACUACUUACGAUUUUAUGAAAUUUAGAAUAUUAGUUGUUGAGAAAUCUCAACAUGCGCAUUUUUCUUUAUACUAAUAUUUUUCUAAGCAAAUUGUGAAUAAGGAUGGAGAACUUGCAGUAAAUAGCUUGCAAUAAUCUGCUAAUGACACAUCACUAGCUGAACUAGAUAGUCAUGAAAAAGUAUUAAACGAUGAAUGUUGGAUUCUAGCAAGGCAAGAUUUGUUGAGUGAAUCUAAAAGAAUCAAAAGUAUGAAAAUCCAGUACCAAGAAAAGAGCUGCAAUCAUGGAUAUCUAAAGCCUGAUAAGAUUGGUAAGGUUGUGAAAAUUAUGUGUAAACUUGUAUCCCAAAAGGUUUGUUUCUUUCUAGAGAGUUUUGGUAGAACAUCAUUUUUCAUGUGCAUAUUACAAAGUUUGUAAACUAUUUUUCUAUGAAUGUUGAAAUAUUUUUUUCAAAUGGUUUGAAAAUUGCAUAACAUUAUUCUCAAGACUCUCUCUUGAAUUGAACGUUUUUUGAAUCACGUUCUUGUGACCAAGACUAGUUAUCAUUUGAAACAAAUUCAUGUUUAUCAUCGGAUGAUUAUUAUUUCCAAAGAUGCAUUUACAAGAGUAUUUUUUUUUUGGUAAUACUAACCAAAAGCAUGUCAAGCAUUUUUAAGCCUCUGGAAGAUGAUUGGCUUGAAAAUGAGUAUGGUGGAGAAUUAACCUCCAUCUUGUCACGACCCGGAUUUCCUACCCUCGGGAGUCAUGAUGGCGCCUACUAAUGAGAGCUAGGCAAGUCAAUCCUUAACUAUUUACUUCAUUAUCAAAUGUCUUCUUUUUAACAAAUAUAAGGAGAUAACAUGAAAAUAGUGGAACUUUAAAUAAUUAAGCAGAAGAUGACAAUUAAAUAUCUGGAAUCUGAAUCUAUUACAACUCUUAAAACCCUCAAACACCCAAAACCUAGUGUCACAGUGUCAUAGACUAUCUAAGAUUUACUACAUACAAAGUCUGAAGAAAUAACAGUACACUGUUAAACAGGAAAUAGGGAUAGAGGGAGAUGUCAGGGCCUGCGGAUGCCUACAGGUCUACCUUGGGUCUCCGGGUGGACUAAAGGAAGCACUCCAACUACUGCCCAAAAGUUGCUCUAGGAUCUGCAUAUAGUGCAGAGUGUAGUAUCAGCACAACUGACCCCAUGUGCUGGUAAGUGCCUAGCCUAACCUCAGCGAAGAAGUGACGAGGCUAGGACCAGACUACCAAAUAAACCUGUGUAGUUCAAACAUAUAUACAGCGGAAAACAAAUACAAAGAUAACCAGUCAAUAUGGGAGGGGGAGCAUGCUGUGGGGAGAUAACAAUUCCAAAUAGAAAGACAUCAAUUAACGAAGGGAACAACAUAACUCGGAUAUCAAUAAAGAAUCAUGAAUCAAUAAAUGCACGACAUCACCCUUAGUGCUUUUUCUCUCGUCCUCACCAAAGCAAUUAUGUAAUAAAAAUGUGCACAACAUCACCCUUCGUGCUUUUACUCUCUUUCCUCAUUAUAUAAUCAAUAGAAUCGGCACUGAAUGGUACAUCGUGCGGCACGGCAUUACCCUUCAUGUUUUACACUCUUUCCUCACAAUCAUACACGGCAUCACCCUUCGUACUUUACACUCUUUCCUCACAAAACAAACGAUACACGGCAUCACCCUUCGUGCUUUAGCACUCUUCCUCACCCAAACAACAAUCACAAACAAUGGGGCAAGGGAACAAACAAUAUUAUAAUAGAAAUCUCGGCAAGGGAACAAAAUCGAUAAUAUCAACGUCCCGGCAAGGGAGAUAACCAGUAAGGCAAUAAUAUCCCGACACAAAUAAAUGAAUUCUUUCUCUUUUUCACUUUUACUUCACAACUCACUUACCACUUGAGACAAUGCUCCUCGAUGUUCAAAUGUCACAAUUACUUCCACAAACUUGUCACAACAAAUAAAAAUCACCUCUAAAGCAUAGAUAAUACAACGAAGUCAUGAAAAUCACAAUAUCAGACUCAUGGGCAUGCUUGACUUCGACGUAUAGAUCAUCAUGCCUAUACGUCGAACUCAACAAUUAUCACGUAGCAAAUAGGACUCGACUCCUAAUCCCUCAAGCUAAGGUUAGACCAAACACUUACCUCGAACUUCCACGGCCAACUCAAGCCUCAAACACCGCUUUCCCUUUUGAAUUUAGCUCCAAAUCAAUUGUAUCUAGACAUAAUAGACAUAAUAACAUCAAUAAAUGCUAAACAAUCCAAUUCCAAUGCUGAAUUAUAGCUUUCUAAUCAUUCUUCCCAAAAGUCAAAAAUUGACCCCAGGCCCUCUUGGUCAAAACACGAGGUUCGUACCAAAACCCGAUCACCCACUAGCCAGAAUAUAUAAUUUGUUUUGAAAUCCGACCCCAAAACGAGGUCAAAUUCCCAAAUAAUCAAAAAUCCCUAACUCUACCCAAAUCCCCAAUUUCUACCCUUAAUCCCAUAUUUUUAGGCCUAUAAUCUAAUAGAUGUUGAUGAAAAUGGAAGAAAACAAGUUAAAGAUUACUUACCUAAGAGAUUAUGGUGAAGAAGCUCUUCAAAAAUCACCCCAAGAGGUGUGGAGAAGAAGAAGUUAUGAAAUUUUGUGAAAAUCCCGUAUAGCUACUGUUCUGGACUUUAAAAAAAUAACUAGGCAAAUUUGGUCUAUGCGAUCGCGAAGAAAGGAAUGUGAUCGCAUAGGGUUAAAGGGGACUGGGCAAUGCGAUCGCGGACAAUGCUAUGUGAUCGCAUAGAAGAAGAAGAUUCCCUUCCCAAGUUGGGGCUAAUACAUCGCGAUCGCAGAAGAGAGAAUGCGAUCGCAUAGAACAAAUUGUGAACUCCCAGAAUAUACUCUACGCGAUCGCGGAAGGACCUAUGCGAUCGCAUAUCACAAAACAGGACCCCUGAAGUUUACUCUAUGCGAUCGCGAGCCUUCCUAUGCGAACGCAUAGUACAAAAUCAAUGAACACCAGAUACAGCAGAAAACCAGAUUUUUUCCAAGUCUAAAGCACUCCGACACCUAUCCAAAACUCACCCGAGCCCUCGGGGCUCCAAACCAAACAUACACACAACCUUAAAAACAACCUACGGACUUAUUCGUGCGAUCAAAUCGCCAAAAUAAUAUCAUGAACAUCGAAUUAAACCUUAAAAUCAAAGAAUUUUCUCAAACUUCUUAAAACAUCAUUUUUAGCAAUUUAGGUUCGAAUCACGUUAAAUGACAUCCGCUUUUCACCAAAUUCUACAAAACGUCUUAAAUCAUAUAUAAGAACUGUAUCGGGCGCCAGAACCAAAAUACGGGCCCGAUACCACCAUGUUCUAAUCAAAAUUUAAUUUCAAAAUCCUUUAAACAAUUUCAGAAAAUAAUUUUCUUUAAAAAAUUCAUUUCUCAGGCUUGGGACCUUGGAAUCUGAUUCCAGGCAUACACCCAAGUCCCAUAUUUUCCUAUCAUGGGUCCGGAUUUGUUUACCCAAAACGUUGACCGAAGUCAUAUUUAUUCAUUUUACAAUUAAAACUUAUCAUUUUUCACAGAUUUUCACAUUUAGGCUUUCCGGCUACGUGCCCGGACUGCACAUGCAAAUCGAGGUGAUGCUAAAUGAGGUUUUCAAGGCCUCGGAAACACAAAAUUCAAUUUAAAAGCAAGUGAUGACCUUUUGAAUCAUCACACAUCUUCACAUUCCAAAUAAUGCGAAGCAAUGAGAAAAUUAGUAAGUCCAACGAUCGAAUAAAGUAACAAGGUAUCACUGACUUUCUAUUUUUAUGACAAAUAUUUUGGUAUACAUGAUCCCAUAAUAUCUCUUUAUAGUACCACAAAAGACUUUUGGUUGACAUUCUAAAUUAUAGAUUAUUGUAUGCAAGAACUAAUUACUUUGAUCUAGCAGGAUAUUUUUAGAUGCAAACCUUGCAGGAAACAAAGUGGACUGAAAUAAAAAAAAUGGCAUGGAAAUCUUAUUUUAAAUUCUCAUGAAAAAGACAAACUAGAGCACAAGGCAUAACACGUGUCAUUAAAUUGCUUGUGACAGAAAGUAUUUUGGAAAUCUGUCUGGAGGACAUUGACCAUCAUCUUGAAGAUAUUUCCUCACAUUUACGAAAGAAGUUGGUAUGGUAAUGAUAUCCUCGUGUAUCCUUUUUGGUAAAAAUAAUUCAUUAUCAUCUUGCCUCUUUUGUGUUUAUCAUUUGUGUGAUUUCAAGUCUAUGAUAGCAUGUCCGUGGUUCGAUUCUAUUAGAUUAUUUUCAAUAGAUUCAAAACUGUGUCGUCCCACUCUACGUUAUUAGAAGUCUUAUAAUUCUCUUCAAAUAUUUAAAAUUGUUUUUGGUUGACCUACAAUUUCUCGUGCUUCGUAUGGUCAGCAAUGAUUUGAUUACUCAAAAGUUUUUUCAAAUGAAUCAAGCCUUUGGUGUUGAUUGCUUAGUGUUUAUUAUACAUGUCGUUAGUUUUACUUUAAACUGGAUGAGUUAAUGGAUUGUGCAUUUAUUUAAUUGAGAGAUUCUUGGAAUAUAGAUUUUUUUUAAUUAAUUGUGUGUAUGCUUUAUUAUUGGUUGUUGUUAUUUAUAUCCUAUUCCACCCUUUUGAUAAUGACAAAAAGGGGAGAAAAUAAUGUAUUCAAAAGUUUGAAAACUCAGGUAGAAUGUAUGGAGACAGGGGGAGCAUAACUGAGGAAUGCAUAGACUGAGUGGGAGUUCACACUUGAUGUACUACAUGCAUUUCGAGAAGAUAACUUCGGGGAAGUAACUAGUUUAUCUAGCUUAGCCCAUUACCGCCUUUAAUUAAGUCUUUGAUUAUAUUUUCUUAUUUUGUACUCAAUGGUUUGCCAUCAUCAAAGAGGGGGAGAUUGUUAGCUUCAAGGUUUCACUUAUUAAUUUUGAUGAUGACAAACCAACAUAAUUAUUAAUCAACGAAUAUUUACUUGUGGUAAUCUUAUUUUUGCACAGGUUUAUUCAAGAAAGAGGAUGCUGAUAAAGAUCCAAACAAGUAUAGGAAAGUGAAUAUCAUGUGAAUAAUUUAUCAAGGAAGAUUAUUUUCAGAGAUUUAAUCUCCAAGCGUCGUAGCAUGAAUAAUAUUUGAAAGUCAAAUUUCAAAUAUUGAAUGGUUUACUGCAAUAUCAGAAGAAGAAUGUACGAAAAUUAUGUUUGAAAGGAAAGUUGCUAAAAUCAUGGAGAUCUAUUAUUUUAUGGAAGGAAGGUACUAUAUGGAAGAGAUACUACAAGGCCAAGGAAGAAUAUAUUUUUUAUGGAAAGAAAAUAAUAAUAUGGGUAUAGUAUAUUAUAUAUUAUGGAAAGAGAUUAUUUUUCAAGAUCAAAGAAUGAGUCAAAGAUAUAUUGAGAUCUAUCAAAAGGAAAUUAUUCCCAUAAUUAUGGAAAUAAUAAAUGGUUAUUGAGAUCUUCAUAUUGAAGAUAAAAAUCAAGAUUGUAACGACCUGACUGGUUAUUUUGAGCUUUUGCAUUUUUCUCGCCAGUUAUCAGGUACGACUAGCCCCGUGUGAUGUAUUAUGACUUAUGUAAAUCGUAAGUUUUGGUUUUCAAGGUAAUCAGAAUGAAUUUGGAAGAAUAGUUCUCAGUUUGAAGCUUAAAAUUUGAAAGAUUUGACCAAGUUUUGACUUGUUAGUAUAUGAUCUCGGAUUGGAAUUUUUAUGAUUUUUAUAGCUCCGUUAGGUGAUUUGGGACGUAUGAGCGUGAUCGGAAUGUAUUUUGGAGGUCUGCGGAAGGUUUAGGCUUGAAUAGGCGAAAUUGGGAUUUUGGCAUUUUCCGGUUGAUCGGUUAGAUUUUGAUAUUGGGGUCGGAAUGAAAUUCCGGAAGUUGGAGUAGGUCCAUUGUAUCAUUUGUGAUGUGCGUACAAAAUUUCAGGUCAUUAGGACGAGGUUUGAUAAACUUUUUGUUGAAUUCGGAAUUCAGAAGUUUUUAGGAUUCCUAGGCAUGAAUCCGAUGAUAUUUUGAUGUUGUUUUGAGCGUUCCGAAGGUUGGAACAAGUUUUAAUGAAGAAAUGGGAUAUGUUGCCAUUUUUGGUUGAGGUCCCGAGGGCCUCGGGUGAGUUUUGGGUGGUAACGGAUCAAUUUUUGAACUUUGAACUUGGUAGUUUUGUUGGUUUUUGUUGCAGAGAUUUUUGUUCAUCGCGUUCACGAAGAGUGUUCUCGAGGUGGUGAAUUCUAUUCUUCACGUUCUCUCUUUAGGUGUCGCGUUCGUGAUGUAUUGAUGAUGUGUUCUUUGGUUUCGCACUUUGGUGGUCGCGUUCGCGUAGUUAUGUCUCCAGUAGGUAUCGCGUUCGCGAGGCUUGUGCCGUGAACGCAUAGAGAAUUUUGGGAGCUGAUAUUUUUCUUCAUCACGGAUGUGAUGGUCAUCCCGCGUUCGCGAAAGAGGAAGCCUGGGCAGCCUUAUAAAGUACUCUAUUUCGAGGAUUUCGGCCAUUUUUGCAUUUUGGAGCUAUGGAGCUCGGGAGAAGACGAUUUUGGAAAGGAUUUUCAGAGGAGUGAUUGGGGUAAGUGUUAUUCACCCAAAUUUGGUUAAAUUCCAUAAUUUUGUUUUAAUUUUUAUCAUUUAAUUUGGGAAUUUGGAAUGAAAAUUGGAAGAAAAAUUAGAGAGUUGAAUUGGGGAUUUGAGGGGCUAUUUGAGGUUUGAUUUUUGAUGUUCUUGGUAUGUAUAGACUUGUGGGAGGAUGAGGAUUCUAUUGAUGUGAUUUUUAUCGGAUUCUGAGACAUGGGCCCGGGGGCCGGGAUUUGCCAAUUUCGGGAUUUUCAAUGUAAAUUAGUUAUUUUCGAGUGGGCUUUGUUCCCUUAGCAUAUUUUUAUGGUAUGAAUCUAAUUUUGGUUAGAUUUGGAGAAAUUGGAGGCCAAUUCAAGGGACAAAGGCAUUGCAAGCUAGAGUUUGGACCAGAUUGAGGUAAGUAAUGAUUGUAAAUGUUGUCUUGAGAGUAUGAAACCCCGAAUUUCACAUCGUUGUGCUACUUUUAGGUGAUGCACACUUUAGAUGAUGAUCGUGGAGCCAUGCACCGUUGGGGAUUGUGACUUGGUCCGUCCCGUAUGACUGUUAAGUCGAGUAUUUGAUUGAAAUCUAUUUGAUAUCAUUGUGUUCGAAAAGUAUUGCUAUGUUUUGGGUGCAAUACCGUAUUUGGGCCUCGCGCCAACUGUUUUGGACCCUUAUGGGGCUUUUUAACUAAUGUUCCUCACUGUUUUGACUUAAUAAUUGUUCUCAGUCAUGAUGUGUUUUAUUAAUUUCUUAACUAAGCCUUAUUUACUAAAUUUUGAUACUAUAAAUGAUAUUUUGAGAUGAACGCCUUGUUUUACUGAUAGUCCGAGUGGCUUGUGAGGUUGAUGGCUGAGAUAGACCGAGGGUCUGAUUGUGAGGUUAAUGACUGAGAGAGGACGAGGGCUUGGUUGUGAGGGUUAUAUAUUCAUGGAUCAAGUUGCGAGCCACGGCAAUAUAUAUAGGUAUAUGGAUCGGGCUGCACGCCGCAGCGAUAUAUGGAGUGGGCUGCACGCCGUAGCGAUAUGCUGGAUCGGGCUGCACGCCGCAGCUAUAUAGCACUUGGGUUGUAGGAGCCCCUCCGGAGUCUGCACACCCCCAGUGAGCGCAAUCGACUAUAUAUAUGGUCGGGCUGCAUGUCAUACCGAUAUAUGGAUCGGGCUGCACGCCACAAUGAUUAUUAUAUGGUACAUAUUGAGCAUGAGUGCUGAGUGUGAGCUUUGAUUAUUGAGAGUUGAGUCAUGAGUAACUGAGAGGCUUGCCCAAUGGUCUAUAUAUAUACACAUGUACGAGUGAUGCUUUACUUGAGGGGUCUGUUUAUGGAAUCACUGUUUUCACUCCUCCUUAAAAUGAGUUUCUACUGAAUAUGUUGAUUAAAUUACUACUUUCACUCAUCUUUAUACCGAGCCUCUAUUGAAAAUGUUAAACAAUUAUUUUAAACAACUUUCAUUUAAACUGGAGUUUUUACGAGGUGUUCGGAAUUUAGUCACUGACUUGGCUUUGUUACUUCCACUGAGAUUUAUAAGUUAGGAGAUGUUUUAUGGAUUUUUGUUUGGCCGAGGGGUUGUAUACGAACUAUGUUUUUUCCCGAGGGGCCGAUUAUGAUUUUCAUCACUUUCACUAUAUAUAUAUAUCAUUAAACCUCUAUUGAAAAGGUUAUAAAGAUAUUUUCUAAUGGAUUUUAUAGAACUUGAAAAUUUAACGAAAUGAUUUGAACGGUAUCCUAUUUUUUGAACAUACUGUAACCACUGUGGUGCUAUGACAUAGUUUACGUGAUUUAUUAAUGCUCAAUCUUUAUUUACUUUUAUUACUUACUGAGUUGGCGUACUCACGUUACUCCCUGCACCAUGUAUAAAGAUUCAAGAAUUUCUGAGCUAGGUGGCAGGUUCAUCGGAGUUAGCAGGACAGCUGCCUGGCGAUCGCAGCCCUGCUUUUCUCCCUCAUUAUUCUUCCUUAUGUAUUCUUGUGAUUUGUUUUUCCCGGCCAUAUUGGUCUUGAUGUUGUUGGACAAUUGUAGUAGAUGCUCAUUACUAGUGACACCCCGAUGUCGGGCUUGUGUAUUUAUUUUGUAUUGUUUAUUUAAACUUACAUCAUGGGAUUAUUGAUUAAUAAAUGGCAUAAAAAUGACUUUUAUUGAAUAAUGGUUGAUUCAAAAAUUGUGUCUGCUGGCCUAGUUUCACGAUAGGCGCUAUCACGACUGGGUAGGUUUUUGGGUCGUGAUAAGUUGGUAUCAGAGCCUAUGUUACAUAGGUCUCACGAGUCAUGAGCAGGUUUAGUAGAGUCUCGUGGAUCGGUAUAGAGAUGUUUGUACUUAUCCUCGGGAGGCUGCAGAACCUUUAGCAAUUACUUCACAUUCUUGAAUUCUUGUCGCCCUUGAUUCGGCUUGAAACGUAACUUUUGAAAUUCCUUCCAUGCGUUCGUAUGCGCGCAUGAGCGCUCAGUAUCAGAUGAGCAUCGAUGGCUUAUGAUUACCUGAUCAAGGGGCGAGAUAUGAUUUUUGUAUGUUGAUAUUGGGCCAAUCUGGAGGACUGUAGACCAGGACUUGCCGAUAGCUUGAGCCUUGUGCUAUUAAUUUUGUGAGCGCGUGUUUUUGGAUUUAUAUGUUCGAUAGUGUCCCUAUUAAGGGAAGUGGUGACUGGAUAGUUACGUGAUGGGUGUGAUGUACUACAUGCAUUUCGAGAAGAUAACUUCGGGGAAGUAACUAGUUUAUCUAGCUUAGCCCAUUACUACCUUUAAUUAAGUCUUUGAUUAGAUUUUCUUAUUUUGUAAUCAAUGGUUUGCCAUCAUUAAAGAGGGGGAGAUUGUCAGCUUCAAGGUUUCACAUAUUAAUUUUGAUGAUGACAAACCAACAUAAUUAUUAAUUAAAGAAUAUUUACUUGUGGUAAUCUUAUUUUUGCAUAGGUUUAUUCAAGAAAGAAGAUGCUCGUAAAGAUCCAAACAAGUAUAGGAAAGAGAAUAUCAUGUGAAUAAUUUAUCAAGGAAGAUUAUUUUCAGAGAUUUAAUCUCCAAGCGUCGUUGCAUGAAUAAUAUUUGAAAGUCAAAUUUCAAAUAUUGAAUGGCUUACUGUAAUAUUAGAAGAAGAAUCUACGAAAAUUAUGUUUGAAAGGAAAGUUGCUAAAAUCAUGGAUAUCUAUUAUUUUAUGGAAGGAAGAUACUAUAUGGAAGAGAUACUACAAGGCAAAGGAAGAAUAUAUUUUUUAUGGAAAGAAAAUAUAAUAUGGGUAUAGUAUAUUAUAUAUUAUGGAAAGAGAUUAUUUUUCAAUAUCAAGGAAUGAGUCAAGGAUAUAUUGAGAUCUAUCAAAAGGAAAUUAUUCCCAUAAUUAUGGAAAUAAUAAAUGGUUAUUGAGAUCUUCAUAUUGAAGACAAAAAUCAAGACUGUAACGACCUGAUCGGUCAUUUUGAGCUUUUGCAUUUUUCUCGCCAUUUAUCGGGUACGACUAGCCCCGUGUGAUGUAUUAUGACUUAUGUAAAUCGUCGGUUUCAUAAUGAAUUUGGAAGAACGGUUCUCAGUUUGAAGCUUAAAAUUUGAAUGGUUUGACCAAGUUUUGACUUGUUAGUAUAUGAUCUCGGAUUGGAAUUUUUAUGAUUUUUAUAGCUCCUUUAGGUGAUUUGGGACGUUGGAGCGUGAUCGGAAUGUAUUUUGGAGAUCUGCUGAAGGUUUAGGCUUGAAUUGGCGAAAUUGGGAUUUUGCCAUUUUCCGGUUGAUCGGUGAGAUUUUGAUAUUGGGGUCGGAAUGAAAUUCCGGAAGUUGGAGUAGGUCCAUUGUAUCAUUUGUGAUGUGCGUACAAAAUUUCAGGUCAUUAGGACGAGGUUUGAUAGACUUUUGACUGAAUUCGGAAUUCAGAAGUUUUUAGGAUUCUUAGGCUUGAAUCCGAUGAUAUUUUGAUGUUGUUUUGAGCAUUCCGGAGGUUGGAACAAGUUUUAAUGAAGAAAUGGGAUAUGUUGGCAUGUUUGGACUUUGAACUUGGCCAGUUUUGUUGGUUUUUGUUAUAGAGAUUUUUAUUCAUCGCGUUCGCGAAGAGUGUUCUCGAGGUGGUGAAUUCUAUUCUUCACCUUCUCUCUUUGGGUGUCGCGUUCGCGAUGUAUUGAUGAUGUGUUCUUUGCUUUCGCACUUUAGUGGUCACGUUCGCGUAGUUAUAUCUCCAAUAGGUAUCGCGUUCGCGAGGCUUGUGUCGUGAACGCGUAGGAGCCGAUAUUUUUCUUCAUCACGGAUGCGAUGGUCAUCCCGCGUUCGCGAAAGAGGAAUCCUGGACAGCCUUAUAAAGUACUCUAUUUCGAGGAUUUCAGCCAUUUUUGCAUUUUGGAGCUAUGGAGCUCGGGAGAAGACGAUUUUGGAGGGGAUUUUCAAAGGAGUGAUUGGGGUAAGUGUUAUUCACCCAAAUUUGGUUGAAUUCCAUGAUUUUGUCUUAAUUUUAUCAUUUAAUUUGGGAAUUUGGAAUGAAAAUUGGAAGAAAAAUUAGAGAGUUGAAUUGGGGAUUUGAGGGGCCAUUUGAGGUUCGAUUUUUUAUGUUCUUGGUAUGUAUAGACUCGAGGGAGGAUGAGGAUUCUAUUGAUGUAAUUUUUAUCGGAUUCCGAGACAUGGGCCCGGGGGCCGGGAUUUGCCAAUUUCGGGAUUUUCGAUGAAAAUUAAUUAUUUUCGAGUGGGCUUUGUUCCCUUAGCAUAUUUUGAUGGUAUGAAUCUGAUUUUGGUUAGAUUUGGAUAAAUUGGAGGCCAAUUCAAGGGGCAAAGGCAUCGCGGGCUAGAGUUUGGACCAGAUUGAGGUAAGUAAUGAUUGUAAAUAUUGUCCUGAGGGUAUGAAACCCCGAAUUCCACAUUGUUGUACUACUUUUAGCUGAUGCACACUGUAUAUGACGACCGUGGAGCCGUGCACCGUUGGGAAUUGUGACUUGGUCCAUCCCGUAUGACUGUUAAAUCGCGUAUUUGAUUGAAAACUAUUUGAUGUUAUUGUGUUCGAAAUGUAUUGCUAUGUUUUGGGCGGAAUGCUAUAUUUGGGCCUCGCGCCAACUGUUUUGGACCCUUAUGGGACUUUUUAACUACUGUUCCUCACUGUUUUGACUUAAUAAUUGUUCUCAGUCAUGCUGUGUUUUAUUAAUUUCUUAACUCAGCCUUAUUUACUAAAUUUUGAUACUAUAAAUGAUAUUUUGAGAUGAACGCCUUGUUUUACUGAUAGUCUGAGUGGCUUGUGAGGUUGAUGGCUGAGAUAGACCGAGGGUCUGAUUGUGAGGUUAAUGACUGAGAGAGGACGAGGGACUGGUUGUGAGGGUUAUAUAUUCAUGGAUCGAGUUGCAUGCCACAGCAAUUUAUAUUUAUUGGUAUAUGGAUCGAGUUGCACGCCGCAGCGAUAUAUGGAGUGGGCUGCACGCCGCAGCGAUAUGUUGGAUCAGGUUGCACGCUGCAGCUAUAUUGCGCUUGGGCUGUAGGAGCCCCUCCGUAGUUUGCAUACCCCCAAUGAGCGUAGUCGACUAUAUAUAUGGUCGGGCUGCAUGUCAUACCAAUAUAUGGAUCGGGCUGCACGCCGCAACGGUUAUUAUAUGGUACCUAUUGAGCGUGAGUGCUGAGUGUGAGUGCUGAUUGUUGAGUGUUGAGUCAUGAGUAACUGAGAGGCUUGCCCAAUGGGCUAUAUAUAUACACAUGUACGAGUGAUGCAUUGCUUGAGGGGUCUAUUUAUGGAAUCACUAUUUUCACUCCUUCUUAAAAUGAUUCUCUACUGAAUAUGUUGACUAAAUUACUGCUUUCACUCAUCUUUAUACCGAGCCUCUAUCGAAAAUGUUAAACAAUUGUUUUAAACAACUUUCAUUUAAACUGGAGUUUUUACGAGGUGUUCGCAAUUUAGUCAAUGAUUUGGCUUUGUUACUUCCACUGAGAUUUAUAAGUUAGGAGAUGUUUUAUGGAUUUUUGUUUGGCCGAGGGGUUGUAUACGAACUAUGUUUUUGCCCCAAGGGGCCGAUUAUGAUUUUAAUCACUUUCACUAUAUAUAUAUAUAUAUAUAUAUAUAUAUAUAUCAUUAAACCUCUAUUGAAAAGGUUAGAAAGAUAUUUUCUAAUGGAUUUUACUGAACUUGAAAAUUUAACGAAAUGAUUUGAAUGGUAUCCUGUUUUGGGAACAUAAUGUAACCACUAUGGUGCUAUGAUAUGGUUUACGUGCUUUCUUACUGCUCAGUCUUCAUUUACUUUUAUUACUUACUGAGUUGGUGUACUCACAUUACUCCCUGCACCAUGUGUGUAGAUUCAAGUAUUUCUAAGCUCGAUGGUAGGUUCAUCGGAGUUAGCAAGGUAGCUGUCUGGCUAUCGCAGCCCUGCUUUUCUCCCUCCUUAUUCUUCUUUAUUUAUUCUUGUGAUUUUUUUUCUCGGGCAUAUUGGUCUUGAUGUUGUUGGACAAUUGUAGUAGAUGCUCAUGACUAGUGACUCCCCAUGUCGGGCUUGUGUAUUUAUUUUGUAUUGUUCAUUUAAACUUACAUCAUGUGAUUAUUGAUUAAUAAAUGGCAUAAAAAUGACUUUUAUUGAAUAAUGGUUGAUUCAGGAAUUGUAUCGGCUGGCCUAGUUUCAUGAUAUGUGCCAUCACGACUGGCUCGGUUUUUAGGUCGUGAUAAGUUGGUAUCAGAGCCUACGUUACAUAGGUCUCACGAGUCAUGAGCAGGUUUAGUAGAGUCUCGCGGAUCGGUACAGAGACGUCUGUACUUAUCCUCGGUAGGCUGCAGAACCUUUAGCAAUUACUUCACAUUCUUGAAUUCUUGUAGUGCGUCCUUGAUUCGGCUUGAAAUGUAACUCUUCAAUAUCCUUCCAUGCGUUCGUAUGCGUGCAUGAGCGCUCAGUAUCAGAUAUGCAUCGAUGGCUUGUGAUUACCUAAUCAAGGGGAGAGAUAUGAUUUUUGUGUGUUGAUGUUGGACCAAUCUGGAGGACUUGAGACCGGACUUACCGAUAGCUUGAGCCUUGUGCUAUUAAUUUUCUGAGCGCGUGUUUUUAGAUUUAUAUGUUCGAUAGUGUCCCUAUUAAGGGAAGUGGUGACUGGAUAGUUAUGUGAUGGGUGUGAUGUGACUACGAAAUGUGUUCGUGUGAUUUGAAUGAGGCGAGAAGGGUCUCCUUGGGGGUAGUAAGAACUAUCCGAUGCUUGAUUUCAUCGUGAGUUGAUGUAUAGCCUGAGUUGUGGGCAUGAUGAAGGAUCUUUUUUCAUGUUGUCUAGUUGGGAAAUGGACUAAAUUGCAUGUCGUGAUAUGAGUUCAGACUUAGGAAAGGUAAGUGACCGGGUAAUAGUUAUGAUUAUGGAAGAAUAUAGAGAGAUUCCAGUUUGAGGCUAAGCAAGUGGAUUAUUUUCUGCGGAGUGUUCUGAAGUUGCGUGGUCCCUAUGAUGGUUGUUGUGAAUCCUCUUUUAUACGUGCGGCAGUUUGAGUUUGUGUCGCGUAAAAAAGUUGUCUUGACCGUUAAAAAAGUGAACGCGAGUUUUGCAAAUGAUUCGAAGUACUAGAUGAUUUGUGUUGCACGAGCUUAUGAAGGACUGAGUGUAAUCUCACUAUGGUAUUAUGGCAGUAAUAGAGUAUAUGCAUUAUUAGUUAUGGUGUGUUUUGAUCUAUGGCUUUGAGCCAAGUGGGGGGAGUCUGCUAUUGAUCAGUUGAUUGCACGGUUAUGUACUAUGAUGGUUCCAGUUUGGGGCAUAUUGGUGAAUCAGUUAUGGCUUACAGAGGUUAAUAUCGAGGAUGACCUGAAUAAAGGAAAUUUUGGAUAGGGGUUAUGUUAUGCUUCAUGGGCGUAUAAGAAUAUAUGGAAUGACUUGAGUUGUUAUUGGUGAAGGAUGUAAUGUACAUGGAGCAGGAAUCUAUCUGGAUGCAUUAAGGUGGGGUUACUUUCUGCGGUAUUGGAGUGCUAAUGGAGCAUAGGUCAUCUGGUCUGUUUAAUCAAUUUAAGUGAGGUUUGAUUAGAGUGGACAACUCUUGAGAAUGGGUCUAAUGGGUUCAAGAUUUUUACAUGUAAUAAUUGGAGAUUUCUAGGUUUUAUAGUUGGCUAGAAACUGAGGUUUGCAUUGGAGGGUGUCAAGACUCGUGGUAUUUCUAUAUUAUUGUAGAUUCUACACAUCAGUAUCAGGGAUGUGAAGGUAAUGACUUUAGAUUCACAGAAGGUCUUCUCAGAGCGCGUAUCUCGGAUGUGAUACUUUUUGGGGUGUUUCAGAGGAAUGCGAGGGUUUAUAAGCCUUAGGGCGAUGUGAUUUUUAGCUAAAGUUCGUGGGGCAAGUUUUAGUUAAGGAUAGUGGUGUACUAGCAAGGAAACAUAUCAAUUUAAAGGCAAUUCGGAAGGAACUCCGAUAAUUAGGACAGCUUGGUAGUAGGUUGGAUCGGCAGGGUAACGGAUAUGAUCGGUUCAUGGGUGCUUAUGAUGCACUGGGUUUCUACAGGUGUUUUGUGGCAAUGCUCUUAGGUUUUGAUGGCCUGCGUAUUGAGUUAGAGGAAUUUAGUUCUGACGGUUUGGUCUUGUGCAAAUGGAAUUCAGAGAGUUUUUGAUGGUUUCUACCACUGUUAGAGAUGUAUAUUUUCUACUAGCAUGUGGAGCAUAGGAUGUAUAAUGAUUUUCUCCUAGAUAGGAUCAAAUGGAAAAGUUCUUGGUUGGCUGAGUACGUAGUUGCUUGUAGCUCGGAGUGAAUUAUGAAGUUCUCAUAUUUAUCAUAACAUGGUAUGGUAUAUGUAGUGUGUUGUGUAUGGUUGUGAUUUGCAUGUGUAAGGUCAUAAAUUCUUAGGCAGCAUGGACAACUUCAGAUGACUAGAUAAAUGAGGUCACUAAUUGGUGUGGCUUGAUAAGGAUAUACAUUUUAGAAAGGGCGAGUGUUUGAGUUAUGGCUACUUUAUUGGUAUUGUGGCACUAUCUUGUCUGAUCGAUUGUUGAUAUUUAAGGUUUGCUUGGUGGCACAAAAGAAGUUUUAGAAGUACCCCCUAACCCCCCCCCCCCCCGUGGGAUAAUCGAGUAGUAGGGAUGUGUUAGAUACUCGGGCAGUGGAGUUGGGAUCAGAUAUGGUGAUUCGUGCGCUGAUUUAGAGAUGGGGAGUUUUCAUAAACAGGUUAUUUCGUGGUUGUGGACUGUAAAAAUAUGGGUAAGCUAGUCAGAUGAUAGUAUGUUCUAUGAUUCAGUCAUUGUGAACCUUCGGAGAGUUAUUUAUAUGUUGUGGGUGACCAGAGUUAAUGUGUGGUUCAUUGGUAGGCCCAACAUGGAUGUGUGUUCUGCACCAGGUCGGAAUUGUUGACUCUGAACUGUUAUUGUUGAGAGAUGUGUCAUUCAAUUGUUGUUGAGCUUAUCCAUGUUCUGGAGUGAUCUAUGAGUUACUCUUUUGUCUUACGAUGAGUUGUGAUUUGUUGGUUAUAUCCGUAUAUGGUGCGAUUCCAUUUGAGCUUUAUAGCGAAAUUUGCACGAGACGGGUAAUUGGGCAUUGCAUGAUUUGUUACGUAUUGGGUAUGUUCUUUCGGACUGAUAUGUCAUUACGUCAUUUGCUUCUCCAUGGUUAUGGUGAUUCACUUUUGGGUUCUAGGCAUCAAAUUACGCUUGGUUGAUGAUUUUGAGCAUGGUGAUUUGAGGCGUCUCAUGCGAACCAGUGUUUGGAUAGGGUCGCGCAUUGCGGCUAAGUUAUGUCGAGGUGUGAUCCUUCGGGUUAGAUUUGUGCGUUCUGGUUCUACGAUGUGUGAUGGGGUCUCAUCAUUGUGUUGUGGUGGUACUGGUGAGCUUGCAAUACAACUCUCUCAUUGGAGUCAUUUUUCAUGAUUUAAGUAAGUUCGGAUUGUUGCUUAUUAGUGUGCGGAUUGCAUGAGUUGUGGCUUUAGGUGGUAUUGAUGUGUUAUCUCACCAGAGUAGUUGUGUUGGAUUAGAUGAGAUCGUUGGGAUCUAAAAUGAAUGCAAAUGGAUUCGGUUUCAGCAUGUUGGAAGGACAAUAUCGAGGUUCGGCUUAAAAAUUUACUAUGGUUCUUACCAAAGGAGAGGGAGCUUCAUGAAUGGUUGAUUUGAGAAAUGAUUACGAAUCUGCGUGUUUCUUUUAUCAUUGGCAUUAUACAGAAGUGUUGGAAUUAGGCUUUAUUUGAUUAGAGGCAUAUUAUCGAAAUCCGGAUGUUUUGAGCAACGGCUGUGAAUAGAAGUUAUCGCUACGAGAGUUGAGCUAUGUGGUUUAUCAUGCAAUUGCAUUUGAGGCUGCAGGUAUGGUUUGUUACAUCUUGUUCGGUCUUAUUCAGAGUAUAGAUGUGAGGUUCUGAUCUUGAAGAUGAUUUCAGAAGUGGAAAUGUGGUUCUAAGGUUUAAGGGCAAGGUUGGAUUGUGAAAUUUCAGUUACAUUGUGUUAUCGGGCCUAUAUGAGAUAGGGUGACGUGGGAUCGCCCUUGGGUAUGUGCAUGGUAAGGUUACACAACAAUUUUAUGGUUUUCGGAACAACUCUAGGUACAUUCAAGGACGAACGCAUGUUUAAGUUGUGGAGGAUGUAACAACCCGACCGAUUAUUUUGAGCUUUUGCAUUUUUCUUGCCAGUUCUUGGGCGCGACUAGCCCCAUGUGAUGUAUUAUGAUUUAUGUAAAUUGUUGGUUUUGGUUUACAGGGUAAUCGGAAUGAAUUUGGAAGAACAGUUCUCAGUUUGAAGCUUAAAAUUUGAAAGGUUUGACCAAGUUUUGACUUGUUAGUAUAUGAUCUUGGAAUGGACUUUUUAUGAUUUGGAUAGCUCCGUUAGGUGAUUUGGGAUGUAGGAGCGUGAUCGGAAUGUAUUUUGGAGGUCUGUGGAAGAUUUUGGCUUGAAUUGGCGAAUUGCGAUUUUGGCAUUUUCCAGUUGAUAGGUGAGAUUUAUAUCGGGGUCGGAAUGGAAUUCCGAAAGUUGGAGUAGGUCCAUUGUAUCAUUUGUGAUGUGCGUACAAACUUUCAGGUUAUUCGGACGAGGUUUGAUAGACAUUUUGAUCGAAUUCGAAAUUCGGAUGUUUUUUGGGAUUCUUAGGCUUGAAUCCGAUGAUGAUUUGAUGUUUUGAUGUUGUUUUGAGCGUUCCGAAGGUUGGAACAAGUUUGAAAGACGAUAUGGUAUAUGUUGGCAUGUUUGGUUGAGGUCCCGAGGGCCUCGGUAGAGUUUUGGGUGUUAAACGGAUCAAUUUUUGGACUUUGGACUUGGCAGUUUUGUUGGUUUUUGUUGCAGAGAUUUUUGGUCAUCGCAUUCACGGUCAGGGACUCGCAUUCGCGAAGAGUGUUCUGGAGGUGGUGAAUUCUGUUCUUCGCGUUCGCUCUUUGGGUGUCGCAUUCGCAAUGUAUUGAUGUUGUGUUCUUCGCGUUCGCGUAGUUAUGUCUCCAGUAGGUAUCGUGUUCACGAGGCUUGUGCCGCAAACGCGUAGAGCAUUUUGGGAGCCGAUAUUUUUCUUCAUCGCAGAUGCGAUGGUCAUUCCGUGUUCGCGAAUGAGGAAACCUGUGCAGCCUUAUAAAGUACUCUAUUUCGAGGAUUUCGGCCAUUUUUGCAUUUUGGAACUAUGGAGCUCGGGAGAAGACGAUUUUGGAGGGGAUUUUCAGAGGAGUGAUUGGGGUAAGUGUUCUUCACCCAAAUUUGGUUAAAUACCAUGAUUUUAUCUUAAUUUGUAUCAUUUAAUUUGGGGAUUUGAGGGGCCAUUUGAGGUCCGAUUUUUUAUGUUCUUAGUAUGUAUAGACUCGUGGGAGGACAAGGAUUCUAUUGAUGUGAUUUUUAUAGGAUUCCGAGACAUGGGACUGGGGGCCAGGUUAUGCCAAUUUUGGGAUUUUCGAUGUAAAUUGGUUAUUUUCGAGUGGGCUUUGUUCCCUUAGCAUAUUUUGAUGGUAUGAAUCUGAUUUUGGUUAGAUUUGGAGAAAUUGGAGGCCAAUUCAAGGGGCAAAGGCAUUGCGGGCUAGAGUUUGGAUCGGAUUGAGGUAAAUAAUGAUUCUAAAUGUUGUGUUGAGGUUAUGAAACCCUGAAUUUCACAUCGUUGUGCUACUUUGAGGUGAUGCACAUGCUAGAUGAUGAGCGUGGAGUCGUGCACCAUUGGGGAUUAUGACUUGGUCCAUCUCGUACGAUAGUUAAGUCGCAUAUUUGAUUGAAAACUAUUUGAUAUCAUUAUAUUCAAAAAGUAUUGCUAUGUUUUGGGCGGAAUGUCAUACUUGGGCCUCGUGCCAACUAUUUUGGACCCUUAUGGAGCUUUUUAACUACUGUUCCUCACUGUUUUUGACUUAAUAAUUGUACUCAGUCAUGCUGUAUUUUAUUGAUUUCUUAACUCAGCCUUAUUUACUAAAUUUUGAUACUAUAAAUGAUAUUUUGAGUUGAACGCCCUAUUUUACUGAUAGUCCNNNNNNNNNNNNNNNNNNNNNNNNNAUUUGAAUGGUAACUGUUUUGGGAACAUACUGUAACCACUAUGGUGUUAUGACAUGGUUUACAUGAUUUCUUAUUGCUCAGUCUUCAUUUACUUUUAUUACUUACUGAGUUGGCGUACUCACAUUACUCUCUGCACCAUGUGUGCAGAUUCAAGUAUUUCUAAGCUCGGUGGCAGGUUCAUCGGAGUUAGCUAGGUAGCUGUCUGGCUGUCGCAACCCUGCUUUUCUCCCUCCUUAUUCUUCCUUAUUUAUUCUUGUGAUUUUUUUUCCUGGGCAUAUUGGUCUUGAUGUUGUUGGACAAUUGUAGUAGAUGCUCAUGACUAGUGAUACCCUAUGUCGGGCUUGUGUAUUUAUUCUGUACUGUUCAUUUAAACUUACAUCAUGAGAUUAUUGAUUAAUAAAUGGCAUAAAAAUGACUUUUAUUGAAUAAUGGUUGAUUCAGGAAUUGUGUCAGCUGGUCUAGUUUCACGAUAGGCGCCAUCACGACCGGGUCAGUUUUUGGGUCGUGACAAAGACCUAAACUCAAAGUAAGAUUGAAAUUCUGUUGGGUUGUCUAAAUAAGAGGUUAAAUUUGUACAUGCAGAAAUUUACCAUAAGUAGAAGAGCACGAGAAUAUUUCAGCAAUCAGAAAAAGGUAAUAGAAUAUCUAUUUGCAAAGUGAUACAACAUGGGGAGGAGGUCAAGAAGAAUAUAUGAUUAAGGAAAAAUGAAGUUAUUGGAAGGAACGAGUCCGAGGAGUUUACAAGGCAAUGAAGUUGUUCGAAGGAAACUGUGUUACAAGGAAAGAAAUAUUUUUCAGUGCAAAUGUGCAGUACGAAGCAAAUAAAUUGGUCUAAUGAAGAAGGAAAGAAAAGCACGUUGAAAAGCUACAAGAAAGGAAGAUUGAAGAGUAGUCUUUGAUUAUGUAAAGAUUAUUAUAUCUCUGGACAAUCAAUCAUGGGUUUUUAAAUAGCACACUGAGAAAGAUCUAGAAAGAGCUUACAAAGAAAAUAUUGUUAUGAAAGGAGUGAUAUAAUCAAGGUCCAAGAUUAUGAAAUUAUAAUUGAAAUGAUCUCAAAUCUAUACGGGAUCAUUUAAGUGCAAGAUCCAAAAGUAAUUCCAUGUAUUAUUUAAAAGCAUGUGAAUAGCUUCUUUAUGGAAAUAACUUUUUGAUCAAAUUUAAUCAUCUUUAGAUAAAAGGAAAAUAAACAUGGACAAGGAAGUGCAAGCUGUCAGAAGCAAAGAAUGAUCUGUUGGAGAAGGUAUCAAUUUGCACAAAUCAAGCAGGACACAAGAUCACAAAAGAUUUACUGUGUACACAAAAGUUCUUUAUUCUACUUUUAACAAGCAUUGUAAUUCACUUUUAGAUUUACUGUGUACACAAAAGAGAGAAGAGACAUAGAAAGUUAUUGGAGAGGAUGUGUGUCCGAGAGGUUGUGUCAUUGUUUGUUUCUUUGGUGAGCGAGUGAAAACCAAAGGGUCAUUUUUGAUGAGUGAGUGAAAACCAAUCCUGUAAAUGUUGGUGGUGAACGUUAAAAAUCACACAAGUUGUACUUAACCUAAAUUACAAAGAACUCAAGAGAUAACAUCCUUGCAACCCAAGGAAACUGUAUUAGGAUACCACAUUGGUUCUAAACCAGUAUAAAAUUCCUAGUGUCAUUUAUUUUAUUGCUCUCAUAUUUUACUAUACACUUUUACUGUUUGUUGUGAGUAGUACUUGUUCAAAUUGAAGUACUAACAGUUUCGGUGCAGGUUGUCUCUGCAUAUGUAGACUCGGUCUGAAGAAUAGUCGACUAGAAAAUUAAAAAGGCUACAAUUCACCCCCACCCCCUCUUGUACUUUCAAUGUGGUAUUCUCAACAUCUUCUGGGGAAAUGGGUAUUUGAUUGUAUCCUGAGUACUCAUCCAAGAAACAGUAGCAUCCAUGUCCAGCCUCUUUCUCGAGCAUUUGAUCAAAGGGAAGUGGGAAGUGGUCUUUCCUUGUUGUAUCAUACAGCCUUCUAUAAUCAAUGCACAUUCUCCACCCAGUGGCUAUUCGUGUUGGGAUCAAUUCGUUAUCUUCAUUCUUCACCACUGUGACACCCCCUUUUUUGGUACAACUUGCACUGGACUAUUCCACUAGCUAUCAGAGAUGGGGAAAAUCACUCCUGUAUCUAACAAUUUAAUGAUCUCAUUGUGCACUACCUCCUUCAAAUUUUUGUUCGACUUACAUUGGAGCUGCACCACUGGCUUGUUAUUUUCUUCCCGUAGAAUUUUGUGCAUGUAAAUGGCUAGAUUGAUUCCUUUAAUAUCAGCUAUACUCCAACCAAUGGCAUUUUUGUAUUUUUCAGCAGCUCUGCUAGUUUUUGUUGUUGUGUACCUGUCAAGUAAGCAGAAAUAAUCACAAGAAAAUUGUUAGUUUCAAUAAAAGCAUAUUUCAAGUGAGCAGGGAGGACUUUCAAUUCCACACUAGGAUUAGAAGCCUCCUCUUUUAGUUCCUCCUCAUUACCACUUGAUCCUCAGUUUCAAGAGCUUCGGCUUCUUUCUUUAUUUCAGGAUCUUCAUCCUCCAUUGUGCUAGACUGAGUAAUACACCUCUCUAGAGUAUCCCCCACAAGCUUGUAUAACUUAUAUUUUUUAGCCAACUCCCUAAAAACAUCUUGCUUGAAACAUAAGUAUGCAGACACUUCAUCAUUGAUGUAUCAUCAUCCUCUUUAUUUGGAACACAACUUUCUCAUUGUCCACUCUGAGCAUAAGCUCCCCUUCAUAGAUAUAAAGGAUAGCUCUGCCUAUACAUAAAAAUGGCCUCUCUAGAAUUAGAGUCACCUCCUUAUUUACUUCCAUAUCCACCACAAUAAGUCUACAAGGAACACAAACUUGUACACCCGUACUAGAAUAUCCUUAAUGUUUUCUCAGGCAAAAUGGUGGUCCAGUCUACCAGUUGUAGGGACACUGGUAUUGAUUUGAUCACUCCAAGCUUACCUUUCAGUUUCCUGAACUCAAACAAAGGCAUUAGAUUUAUAGAAGCACCAGAAUCACAGAGGGCCUUGUCAAAUUUCUCACUCCCCAACAAGCAUGGUAUGGUCAAGCUUCCUAGGUCCCCACAUUUUGAGGAAUUUUAUUUUGCAAUAUGGCAGUGCAGUAGGCAUUCAGCUUGACCAAUAUUGUCUCCUCUAGAUUCCUCUUGCUGGACAGAUUUCCAUUAAGAACUUUGCAUAAGCAGACAUCUGAGUGAUUACAAAUGUUCACAUAAAGUUGCUUGAGCAACUCCGAGAACCGCCCAAAACAUUUGUCAAGUUUUUCCUGCUUCAUAUUUUGAGAGAAUGGUAGAGCUGGCAUGUGUCUACUUUCUUCAAUCUCAUUUUGUACCCCACUACUCUGGCAUUUCUGCUCUUCAUUCUUUUUCUCUUCCGGUGUCUCAGUCUUUUUGUUCACCACCUCGGGUCUAGAUUUUACAACUUGAUCAGCCAAUGUUUUGCCACUUCUCCGAGGUACAGCUUUGAUUGUUUCAUUUGGGUUCUUUAUUGUGUCAGAGGGUCGAGUCCCAGGAGCCCUCUCUAAUAACAAAUUUGUAAUUUGUCCUAUUUGUCUUUCUAAAUUCCGGAUGGUUGUGCCAUGAGACUCAAAUUUUUCAUCUGUUUUGUUGAUGAAUGCCUUCAUGAGAUCUUCCAUACUAGACUACUUUGACUAUUGUUGUCGGUAUUGCUGCCUCUGUUGGUUCUAAAAACCCGGUGAUCCUUGUCCUUGGGGUCUAGGAUUAUUUUGCUGAUAUGAGUUCAAACUCCCACUAGGUGAACUCCACGAAAAACCUAGAUGUAUUUGUCCCAUAACAUUAUAUUUGUUCCAACUCUCGUAGUUUCUUCUAUUAUAGUUCCCCAUAACGUUAUUCUCAGCAGGCCACUAGUUAGCAUCCUCAGAUAAUUCAUCAAGGACUGAGACAACCUCCUCCAGAGUUUUCUUCAUUAGUGGACCUCCACAUGCAAUACUCAAAGCUCAUCGUGACAAAGGUGUCAGUCCAUCCAAAAAAUCCUAGAAUUGCAUCCACAAAUCAAUUCCGGACACUUUCUGACUAUCUCCUUGCAUCUUUCCCAAGCUUCAUAAACCGUUUGUCUCCUUCUGGCAUAAAUUGUGGAUUUCCCUUCUGAAUUUAUGUGUUGUUGCAGCUGAGAAGUACUUCAAGAAACUUUUUAUUCGUAAAUUCCCAUGUCUUGUUCGACCUUGUGGGUAAGCUACAAAGCCAGUGCUUUGCGUCAUCCUCCAAUGAAAAUGGGACUGCCCUUAUGUAGAUCGCAUCUUUUGAUACUCCAUUUUAUUGGAAGGUGUUCAUGAUUUCUUCAAAGUUCAUCAACUGAGUGUUAUGAUCUUCAUUCACCUUCCCUCUAAAUAUACGGUUGUUUUGGAUGGUUUGAAGCAAGACUUGCUUCAACUCGAAGUUGUUUGCUUCUAUGGGUGGAGGUUUGACACUUGACAGUCCUUGAUUGUAGACUGGUCUGGCAUAGUCGCCUAAUGAUCUCUCAGGCUUGGGUGCUGCAUUCUCGAACUGGUCUUCAACCAAGGGUAGGUUUAGAUUUAAUAUUCGACCCCCACCAUAUUCGAUAGUCUCCUCAGUAGCUUUAAAGGCUGCCUCAAUUGCCAUAUCUGCAGCUUCUUAUUGCUGCCUCUUUUGCAGCUAAGUCUACUCUAUCAAUCUUUUUUUGCCAUUUUAUCUUGAGUCGAAGUAUGACCCAAGAAGUUUUCUAUUAAUUCUCUUUCUUUCCUCAAUUGUCGUAGGUUUCUCCAACUCUGGUUUGUAGGGUAUCACUUCCUUUGAAGAAGAUCGAGUCAUGCACCAGAGAAGUUAAACCCUUAUCCUGCACACAAGUGAGAAACUGUGAAUACAAUAGAUUUGAUGCCAAAAUUUGACAAGCCAAAACACAACAAAAAAUUAUGGCUCGCUAGCCAAAGAGAGUAUAGUUUAUUUAUCGUCUCCACAGGGAUUGGAUUUAAACAAUGUUCGAAUAAUCUUUAGUUGAUUACUAUCUAGUAAGAUUAACAAUUGAUUUGAUGAUUAUAAUCUACGAUUAACUACUAAAAAUUAAGCAAUUAAUAAUUGAUCACAAAAGACAGCAGAUGAGAAACGAAGAAAUAUCAAUGAGAGGCAAAGGUAAUUGAUUAGACAGGUGCAGAAUAAUUUACUCGAAAUCCAAUUCUUGAGUUAGUUCGCUCUAUAAUAUUGUUGAUUCUCACGAAUUCAAUAGAAAAUUAGAUUACCCUUGAAGUUAAUGUUCCUCUUUUAAUUAAAUGUUAAUUUCAGUAAUUAAUCCAAUUGAAGCACGGUAAAUAAUUGCAACGAAUAAAUGAUAGUUAUGGUCAAAAGGGUAACUUCUCACGAAUAUUUCCCUAUUUUCUAGUUUGAUUAACAAUUCAAGAGGCUCUUUCGAUUACCUACUUGAAUCAUGAAUUUGACCUAGAGCAUAAGAUGUAAAGAAAUUCAAUAGCAAGCUCCUCUUUCGAUUAAGCAAAAUAAGAAUAACUUCACAAUAUGAAUUAAAACUCCAUUAAUUCCAACAAUAAUCAAGAAUCGAAUCCCUAAUCAAGUUAUCAAAAUAUCGUAUUUGCCAACACCCUAAUAGAAAUUACUCCAUAACAAUGGAUAAAGUCAUAUCAAUAAGGUUUAAAAACAUAGAAAACACCAAUUCUAAUGAUUCAAUACAAACUCCCGUACUGCACCGAUUUUUGGUUUAAAUCUUGAUAAAUCCUUGUGUCCUCUUGCCUUAAUUGUUGCUCAAAUAUUUCAUAGGUCAAAAGUCCCUUCAAAAGUGUAUUUUAGGUGCACUUAUACCAUGUAGAAGUGGGCCCGGAUGAAACUACCCUUUCCAAGCCAAAACAUAAAUUACUCUAACAAAAAUGCAAUAACGCGACGCAGGGCGCGGUGCCCCACGCGGCGAGCCUAUGGAGUUUAUCAGGUGGCUUGACUUUUGUUUAUCAGGUAGGAAUUUCACUGUCGCGCGCGCCUUGCAGUGCCCCAUUCGGCGUGCAGUGUCGUUUUUCUAGAGUAAAUGGUUUUUUUCACUAUUGACAUCCAGACUUGGUCCUCGACCCCUACGUGUGAUUUUGGCUUAAUUUCUUGGGCUUUUACUCAGACUUCAAAGCUCCAACUUGUUUGAUUUAGCUCCAAUUCAUAUUUUUAACUCAGAAUCAACUCCCUCAAGGCAUAAAACACCUAAUAAGUACAAUUUAUUAUUAUUUAAGCUCAAACACACACACAAUGCAGUAAUUAGAGUGUAAACUACGGCUAAAACAUGAGUUUCUAGCUUACCAUCAGAAUGAAAAAGGUGCAUAUAAAACAAAAGACAACUUUGAUAUUCAGACGAAGAGUUUUUACAAAAAGCACUCGAAGACGCCAACAACAAUUAUACAACAAGUUGAAACAAAAACUAAUGGCCAUCAACAUCUCGGCCUUCGAUGCUAUCACCAUCUCGGCCUUCGACGCCCUCUCCAUCCUCGCCUUGGCCGUAAGUAGAGUAAUACCAAGCACCGUUCGUAAGCCGGUCUACACCGUCUUCCUCAUCCUCCUCGGAACCAGGUUGGGGUAUAGUAGGAUCAUAAUCACAAGUUAGAUGAGCCUCACGAGCUUUUACUUGAGCAUCGUCGAGGGCCAUAUUAGAAAUAGAGCCCGCCAUAUUCAAAUCACGGAGCACAUCCUGCCAGGCUUCAGUGUGGAUCCACUCUUCGUACAGUUCCUAAGGAAUGUAAGAUACUGAGAAGCAUUAGACGAAGAUGGACGCACAAGCAGUUGGGCCUUCUCGACCUCAAGACCAAUAACUCGAUCAUGCCGCUCGAAGUUUUCCAUGUCCAGCUCAGCGAUCCUCUCCUCAAGUCGGUCCUCUUUAACCCUAGCCAUCGACGGAUUAUUAUCUCGCUCAAAAUAGAGAGUCAUGUUCGCUAGCUCGAGAAUGUAAAUCUUUCUCCGAGCAUCCAGUAAGCCUUCGUAUGCUCGAGUAAAUGUUGCUUCUCAGUGACCUCCCCCCUAAGAGAGUCAAUUUUGAGUUGACAUCCGUCCAACUGGCUUCGCAGUUGAGCCAACUUUGCUCGAUCUCUUUUUCUUUUCUCCUUAAUGCUCCCUCAAGGACGCUGAACCUUUCCACGGCCGCCAUCAACUCCUCGUAUUUUUUCAUUAAUUCUUCUCUCAAGGCCAGCAAGUCGAGCUCCUCGUGAAGCUGCCUCUGAAGGUUUCGGUACUUUUCACUGUACUCUUCAUAUUUACCCUUCAACUUCACGUAAAUUUAUUUACAUUUCUUCUCCCUCCAAGCUCUCUCAAUUUCUAGAGUGACCGUGUGCAAUUCAAAGAAAAGGCGAAAGUUAGAACUUAAAAACAAGAUAAGGUAAAAGGAAAAGAGCAGACAAUAGCCAUACAUACCCUAAGAGCAAGACCGACAAUGUUCUUUGACAGGGUACUAUCAGUUAUCUCCUUGAGGUCACGCCCUCGGCGUCGGAGUAGAGAGUACCGGGAGUGGUAACCACCUUCUCGGUAUUUCACAGCAAAUCAUGAUCCAUUGAAAUCGUGAUAGUCCUAGAGCAUGCCUCCAUUCUCACCCUCGAUUUAGAUCAGCCCCUCAUGGAUCAUCCUAAGAUCAUCAAGGGCUAUGUCGAAACUUGACUCAUUGCACUCAUUGAUGACAUAUUUUCCUCUGUCCUUGACUGCCGGAUAGGCAUCUGCUGCCUGCUUGGAAGAUGAAGCCUCCUCCUACCUCGUAGACACAAAGUUGUCAAUCAAGUGUCCUCUUCAUGACCAUCUCCCCCUCGGCACACACCAGCACGCCCGUGUUCACCUCCUCCGAUUGUGGGGCCUCAAAAAUUACCCCAACAUUGUCUUCGAUUUGUAUUGUUGCGUUUCUCGAAGAGUGAAGUCAUCCUCAACUGAAUCAAUGGUCGUUGAGACUCCCCUCCCUCCCCAACGUCUAUAACCUUCAUCUUGGGGGGGCCUUAGGUCCCCACCACCAGGGGAGACGUUAUCAUCCUCACUAACAAAUGAAAAUAACUUAGGAGCGGGUGCAAUAGUUGGGACGGGGCGGAUACAUAAGCUACAGUAGCUGGGACGGGGGCAGACUGUAACGAUCCAAACGGUCAUUUUGAGCUCUAGUGAGCCGUUCAGCAGUUUGAGGCCAUGAGCAGCUUCAUUUCAGGUAUUAUGACUUGUACGCAUGGUCAGAAUUGAAUUUCGGGAAGUUUGGAGUUGAUUUGGAAAUAGAAUUCUCAUUUCGGAAGCUUUAAGUUGAAAGAAUUAACUAGGAUUGGAUUUUUGAGUAAACCACCUCAGAAUUGGGAUUCGAAGGUUCCACAAGUUCGUAUGAUGAUUUUGGACUUGGGCGUAUGUCCGGAUUGCGUUUGGAAGACCUGGGAACGUUUCAGCGCCUAUUGUGGAAGUUAGCAUUUUGGAAGAAAUUUCAUAAGUUUGGGUUGAAGUGCAUUUCUGUGUUGUCGAUAUCCGUUUGGGAUUCCGAGUUUAGGAGUAGCUCCGUGUGGUGAUUCGGGUGUUGGGAGCGUGAUCGGAAGUGAAUUCGGAGGUCUGUGGGUCAUUUUGGAGUCAUUUGGCUAAAGAUAGAAAUUUGAAGGUUUUUGAGAAGUUUGACCGGAAGUGGAGUUUUUGAUAUCGGGGUCGGAAUCCGAUUCCGGAAGUUGGAGUAGGUCCAUAAUGUCGAAUACGGCUAGUGUGUAAAAUUUGAAGUCAAUCAGACGUGAUUUGAUAGGUUUAAACAUUGAAAGUAGAAGUUUGAAAUUCUAAAGUUCAUAAAGCUUGGAUUGGAGGUCGAUUCGUGGUUUUAGCGUUGUUUGAUAUGAUUUGAGGCCUCGAGCAAGUCCCUAAUGUGUUUUGGGACUGGUUGGUAUGAUUGGUUGGGGUCCCGGGGGCCUCGGGUGGAUUCCGGGUGGUUAAAGGAUCGAAAAUGAAUUUUGGAGAAGGCUGAAGUUGCUGGUUGCUGGUGUAACCGCACCUGUGAAACUAGGGCCGCAGAAGCGGCUUUCAUGCCACAGAAGCGGAAAUGGACGGCUAGGCUGGGACCGCAGACGUAGUCAUUUUGCCGCAGAUGCGGGACUGCACCUGCAGAGGGAGAAGCGCAGAUGCGGAAGUUGAAGGCUUGGGGGAAGACCGCAGAAGCAGCAAUUGGUCCGCACCUGCGGGACAGUAGAAACGGUCAAUAGACCGCAGGUGCGAAAGGAUUGGAGGCAGUGAGUGUUUUAGAAAUCAGGAUUUGGCCAUUUUCUCUCAUUUUUCUCUUGGCUUGGGUGAUUCUAGGAGGGUUUCAAGAGGGGGUUUUCAUCAUAUACGAUAAGAUAAGCUAUCCCCACCUAUCUUGAGUUAAAUACAUUGAUUAUGUAUAGAUUUGAGCAUGAAAUUUGUUGAAACUUGGGGUUUGGGCGAAAACCUAGAAAAUCAAUAUUCUUGGAAUUUAACCACGAUUUUGGGUAUGAAAUUGAGAGUAAAUUAUAUAUUUGAGUUAGUGAGGUUAUGGGUAAAGUUUAUCUUCGGAAUCCGGGCACGUGGGUCCUAGGGCAAUUUUGUCAACUUCUCGAUCGGGGUUAGGAAUUGUUAUAAAUUAGAUCAUUAGGGCUAAUUGAGUAUAUAUUAAUGGAUUGUAUUAUUAUUGGCUAGCUUUGGAGCUUUGUUCAUCGAUUCGAGUCUUCGGAAGAACGUGGAAUGUCGAUUAUGGCUCUUCGGAGCGAGGUGAGUCUCCUUUCUAACCUUGUAAGAGGGAAUUGUCCCCAUAGGUGAAAUAAUUAAAUAUGUGCUCCAAGUUGUGGGGGCUACGUACGUACUAGGUGACGAGAGUCCGUGCAUAGCUACUAUUAUGUUUAAGUCCGGGUAGUCUAGGACCCAAAAGCAUGCUUCCCUUGGAUUUUGUGAACUUACUGACAGUUGAAUUGCUUAAAUAAUAUCGAAUUAGUAAAUGAAUUUCUAAAAAGGAUUUAAACUUCAUUUUCAAAAAUAUUUAAAAGAGAAUUGGCGUUUCUUUGGAUAAUUGUUCCCUGUUGACUUCUUGAUUGACUGCCUGUGUGUUUAAUUUCGGAACGGGUCGAACACCUCGGUAGAUUAAAUAGAUGCAUCUAUGGUUCGCGCCAUUCGACUCUCUGGUGGUGCACAAUUUAAAUAUUGUUGGAUCGAGUCGUACGUCCUCGGCAUGAUUUGUGCAUGCUUGUAUUGCUUGCCUUGAGACUCAUUGAUAUUGAUAUUUGCUCUCCCCGACUUGAGAUAAUUGUUAAUUAAUGGAUUAUGAAUCCGGAGACUUUUAAUAAAAAGGAACUUUUACAUGUUUCGUGACUUAUUUGAAUUUAUUGUUGUCCUUAAUAAAUAUGUGAUUCAUCGCAAUAAUAAUAUUACUAUUAGACCACUAGUAAGUGUCGAAGUCAACCUCUCGUCUCUACUUCUUCGAUAUUAGACGGGAUACUCAUUGGGUACACGUUGUUUUCGUACUCAUACUACACUUGUUGUGCAUUUUUGUUGCACAGGUUCAUAUGUGGCUAGUGGCUUAGUGGCAUAGAGGCAUAGCGGCAUGGUUGAUACGGAGACCUAGGUGAGCUGCAUUUAUCGAGACAACCCGCAGCUAGCAGAGUCUCCUUCAGAGUAUUGUAUUGUAUUUUCAUUUAUGUCCACUUGUAUUUCGGACAGUUACUGUAUUUUAAUUCAUUCCCUAGUAAAUGCUCAUGUACUUGUGACACCGGGUUCUGGGAGGAUCACAGGAUUUUCAGUAGUUAAAUUUUGUGAAGACAUCCUUAUUUAUCCAGUGGAGUUUAUUAUGUAUUAUUUAUUUAUUUAAAGAAAAUAAUUUCAAUAAUUAAAAUAAAAAAUUGCUAGUAAAUUGUAGUUGGCUUGCCUGAUAGUGGUGUCUGGCGCCAUCAUAACCCUUAGUGGAUAUUGGGUCAUGACAACAUGGUAUAAGAGCACUAGGUUCCCUUAGGUCUCACGAGUCAUGAGCAAGUCUAGUAGAGUCUCGCGGAUUGGUACGGAGACGUCUGUACUUAUCUUCGAGAGGCUACAAGGCUGUUAGGAGUACUUCCCUUCUUAAUUCCUCAUCGUGUGAUUUGAUUCCUUGAGGCUUAUGCCCUUGUUUCCUUCCUACUCAAUCUUACGCGACGCGAAUCGCUGGUUAUAAAUCGAGAAUUAAAGGAUUAUAAUGGCACUACAAAUGUGGUGCGGGAUGUUUCUCCCGGUAUAGUUGAUUGGGCUAUUGUUGUUGCCUUGCGAGAGGAUAUCUUGUUAUUUCAGCUCAGUAACAGUAUUCCUAAGAGCUUUGAGGCUAUGCACAGAUCGCUAUGAUUGCUCAUGAUUGGUUAUCGCACAGUAUCGACAUAAUAGUAGGAUACUUGCCUUUAUGUGGGGCAGUGAAUGAUUUGGAAGGGAGUUCUCUCAGUGCAUGAUUCUAAGAUUCGGUAUUUCAUCUCCGGCGGGGGAAAAGCAAUUGGCCUAUGAAUGUCCAAAUUUGGAUCGAUGGAGUAACGAGACUUGAAGUUUUCAAGUGUGGUGGAAUUUUCAUUUGCGACGUGGUAUCGUCGUCCUCGAUUGAAUGUGUUAAGUUUGUCGGUGUUAUGGCCUUCUGCAAUUCGCCUUUGGGGCAAGAUAUUGUGAAAUAAUAUUGGAGAAAUGGCUGUCAGAGAUCACGAGGUACGGUGGUUCAGGAUUGAAUAUGUAUUCCUAAUACUGACGGCUCGAGAAAGUUGAUCUUCGGAAAGGUUUAAAAGUGAGUAGCGGUCUAUUGGUUCAAAUGCUACCAAGAUAAAUUUCUAUCUAAGGCAUUACCUUAGCAGUAAAGGAUGAGGAAGGACGUGUGGAGAGUGUCAUGCAGUGGUUAAACUUCUAGAAGGCCCAGUGUAAGAAGUGGAGGUAGAGUAGUUUCUUAAAAAAGUGAGUCUGCCCAAAGUGGGAGAGUAGCAGAGCAGUAUGUGGAUUCAGUGGCUGGGUCUACGGACUUAAUUUGAAAUAUCGGCUAUUAUACUGUGGGAGACUUGAUAUGGUGGAAAGGAGUUGCUUGAUAUGAAGGAGGGUACAACAUAAAAUUGAAUUAGAGGAUAUUUUCGCACAUCUAGUUGAUGUCCACGAGGAGUGAAUGGACUUGUGUAGCUAGUGAAGGAGCACAGGCUCAAGAGGGGUUAUUGAUGUCGUAGUGAUUGUACCCCAUGCAGCGAUGUUGGAAGAUGUCAAAGAGUGAUUUCCACAGGGGGUUAUUCCCUGUGAGCAGGUUAGUGGUUGCGUGGAUCAAGCUUCUACGAAGAAUUCUACUAGCCAUACGGUAAAGAGAUCAGUCAUGUGAAUGUGGUUAAUGAUUCAGAGUAUCCGUAAAGGGUUUUACAGAAAGAUUUCGGAGGAUUUGGCGGGCCAGUUAUGCAAGAGCAAGCCAACAAUGAAGAAAAAAUCUUGGUGGAUCCUAGAUUUGUGUAUGGUGGUUUAAAGCUAAGUGGGAGAGCCUCGCCUCCUACGAUUGGGUUGUAUGGUUAUCUUCUUGUGAGGUUUCGGGUUAUUAGCAUAUUGGUAAAUUAUUUCAUCUAUGGGAAAAGAACCUUAGGUGGUAAUUUGAGCAAAGGGAUUGUUAAAGGCGUACCAUGGUUGAACUUAUUGGCUCAUGUUCAGACUUGGGGAAGGAUUCGGGAUUUAUGCCUUGUAUAGAUGCGGGUUUCAAGGAAAGUGAUUCUACCGGGUGCUUCGUCGAGAAGGGUAUUCAUGUGCUAGAAGAUCCAUGGAGUUGAUUAUAUUCGGGGCUAAGUCAGAGCAGGUGGCUCUCAACAACGAUCUUAGUGGAUUCAAAGGGGUAAAGUGUGGUGCCUAAUGACUUCGAGCCUAUAGGUGCGGUUAAGAAUCAAGCUUUUGUAGCAGCUUAUGAGAAGAGGCCCAGAAUGUUCUAUGAUGUUUUGACUUGCAGUAUAGCAUUUGGGAAAUAUGAAAUAGUUCGUGGUAUUUGAGACAGCAUGGUCUCGUGAUUCAAGGUCACUCGGGAUGAGUGCGGAUGGAGUGUGUUAGGUGUUUAAUGGAGUUAUUAUUAUUUCUAAGGCAAUCAAGGAUAAAUUGGAAGAAGAUAGAUUGGUUAGCCAUAUUUGAACUGGUAUAUUGGUGGUAGUGAUCAAGUCAUGCAAGUGAUUUGUGAUGGUACGUGUGACGCUUGUCGGCUGCCGUAAUUGAUGCUAUUCAGAAGCAUUCUACUGUUAUGGCCUGUCAUGUGUAGGCGGAUCCCGGAAGGGCUAUGGUGGCUUAGACCAUUACUUAGAGGUAUUUAUACUCUACGGUUAUGAGAAUUCACUCGUGUGUUGCUAUGGUUCUCCCGAAGUGAGUUAAGUGAAAUGUUUUUAUAUGAUGAAGUAUUAAUCUAUUAGUGGUUCCGGAGUUAUGAUGAAGAUCGUGUUCUAUCGUAUAUUGGCAUGUUGGGUGCAGGGAGAGGUAUGGAAUUUGAUGUGAGGAUCAGGGUUGCAAUUCGGUGUUGACAAGGAUGUCACAAGCUUAGAUGAGCAGGAAAGGAGUUUCGAUGUUUAAAGUAAGUUGGUAUUGUCUUUAGCGUCACUUGAGAUCGGUGUUUUGUGAAAAAUGUUUUGCAUCCUGAUUAAGGAUUCUUAAUCACUUUUCAGCGUUAGUGCGGCCGACGGUUUGGAUGUACAUGCUAGUCAUCUGUUACAGAAGGUUGUGGGAGUGUGCCCCACUGGAAGGUGGUAUAAGUGUGGCAUGUAGUCACUUGAUUGAUUGAAGAGUUAAACCAAGUAUGAAAGAUUGUAGUGAUGUCGUUAAAUUGAGAAUUGAUGCUUGGAGGGCACUCGGUUUAUUGGGUUGUUGACUGUGGAGGAUUACUCCGGUUAUGAUGGUUGUUCUUGUGUGUUAUGAGAAAUGGGGAGUUAUUAUGGACCUUUGGAAGGUUAUUAGCUUAGUUUAGUGCGAUCAGAAUCAGCUUGAGGUUUGUGGAUGGAUUUAAAUGUGAAUAUGGGCUUUAUAUCAGGCCAGAUGUGUUCAUUUCAGCCUUAUGGAAGGGUAGUCGGGGCGUUAUUUCGUCGUCAGCUAUUUCAUGGAAUGAUGUAUUGCGCCAUGUGAGUUGUAAAACGGCAUGGUGAAUUUCUUAUGUGUUGAGAUUCCGCAUAGUGAUGAUGUUAUAUGAGUAGAGUGACUCUUGAGAUUCAGAUAGUAUAUCGUACCUCAGUUGCGCAAUAGUCGGUAGCUUAUAGCGCUAUAUGUCUCCCCAGGGAUGGUAUUAUGCACUUAGCGUGCUUGUGACCGACAUUCGGUAUUUUGUUGUAGCGAGCAAUCUAGCUCGGUGUGUAUCUCCUUAUGUGAAUUUUAUGUGUGGAUCGGCUGGCACGCCGCCAUGAGUAUGUUGUUUGGAUCGGGUUGCAUGCCGCAAUAGUGCGACGUUGAGUAUAGUUCCCUAUAUCUAUUUUCAUGUGUUUUGUUUCUUAUUUUUUUUAGGAAAGCUCAUGUUAGCUAUGUGCCCGCAUCGCAUGUAUGAUUUGCGAGCGGGGUGUUUAUUUAGUUAUGUAGACCGCGUCGCACGUGUGAUUCGCGAGCGGGGUAAUUGGAUUUCCUUUUCAGAGUUCGUUUCCUUUAUGUAUCAUGUUCGAAGUGGUAGCCUAUUGGUACAUUGUGAUAGCAUAUGAGACUUUUUGAUCAUGUCCGGGGUGGCUUAUUGACUGAGCAGUUCGUACUGGGUGAGACGAGAUCGUGGAUUUAGGAUCAUUGCAAUCUGAUUAUAUGAAGAAUAUUAAGGAGCAAAGACCAUUAUUUGGUUCAGAAUGAGGUGAUAAUUCCUGUCAGGAGUAUAGACCCAAUGAAUUGUUGAUUCGGCAGUUAGUUAUGAAUUUCUACACAUUUCUUCUGUUGUGGUGGUAAUGUAAGAGUUAUAACAAGACCUAUGUAUGCCAUGAGGUGCAAUGGGAGCAUCAGAUUUAUGGAAUUUCGACUAAAUUGAUCAGAGAAUGUUAUUGUGAUCCUGUGAGUAAAGUGGUGCAAGGUGUGAAUUCAGCCAAGGUAUGCAGUCAUGUUAUGGUGUUGCAUGUAGUGAUUGAUAUGGUGAUCGUAUGUUGGAACAGUCCUGGCAGAGAAUUUCGGAUGCUGGAAUUGGGCCCUAAGGCUUGCUUGCUUAAGUGGGAAAAGUAUAUCUUCAGAUUGAUCAAGCUAGGGCGUCCAGCUGAGUUGUGGUAGCACGGGUAGGUGCUCGAGGUGUUAAACAGUGAUUUCGGGCAACUCAAGCACAGUUCUUAGCACAUUCGAUGACAAACGUAUGUUUAAGUGGGAGAGAAUGUAACAACCCGACAGGUCGUUUUGAGCUCUAGCGCACCGUUCAGCAGUUUGAGACCAUGAGCAGUUUCAUUUCAGGUAUUAUGACUUGUACGCGUGGUCGGAAUUGAAUUUCGGGAAGUUUGGAGUUGAUUUGGAAAGCGAAUUCUCAUUUCGGAAGCUUUAAGUUGAAAGAAUUAACUAGGAUUGGCUUUUUCAGUAAACAACCUCGGAAUCGGGAUUCGAAGGUUCCAGCAGGUUCGUAUGAUGAUUUCGGACUUGGGCGUAUGUCCGGACUAGGUUUUGGAAGACCUGGUAACAUUUCGGCAUCUAUUGUGGAAGUUAGCAUUUUGGAUGAAAUUUAAUAAGUUUGGGUUGAAGAGCUUUUCAGUGUUAUCGAUGUCCGUUUGAGAUUCCGAGUCUGGAGUAGCUCCGUAUGGUGAUUCGGGUGUUGGGAGCGCGAUCAGAAGUGAAUUCGGAGGUCCAUAGGUCAUUUUGGAGUCAUUUGGCUAAAGAUAGAAAGGAAGUAAAGUUUGAAUAAUGAAGAAACACUCCCUAUUAAUAAAGAUUGAGGCACCAAAUCCAAAACAUUUCAUCAUAAUUGGCACCAAAUCCGAAACGGUUCAUCAUAAUUGGCAUCAAAAUCUGAACGGUAGAACUAAUCAAAGGUCACGCGUGAAUCGAUACAAUGCAUCGAGAACCGACAUCAUCAUGACGCAUGAAGUCAUGACGUCACUCCUUCUCUGGACCAGAUAGUUCCAACAAAUCACCUAGGAAAUUUAAGGGUUUAAAAUAUACAGCCCACAAAGAGCCACAUUGUAUAUUCGUCACAACGAUCACGAUCGUUGUUAUCUAUUCAGCGAACUCGACGAAAAAGACGGCCAUGAACUCUAUUAUUAUAUUUGCCCACGAAAACGACCUCAACAAGCGGAGGGCUAACAGUAUAGGCUAAAAUUUAUCCUAGUUAUGUCUGGGUCGAGCCAACAUUAAGAGAACCUUCGAAGGCUGUUAUGCAUUAUCUAUGUUUUUUCAACAAAGGACGAAGACGAGGUCGAAGUAAUUUGAUGAAGUAUGAAAACAAGGUCGAGCUAACUCAGUAGAGGGACGAGGAUGAGCACUCCUUUUAUAGGGCAGUAACUCAGUAGAAGUCCCGGUUUCGACAUUUAUGAGGGUAAUAACUCAUUUCCCUUUUGGGAUUUUGGGUAUUUGAAGAGUCGCCAACUAACGGAUUAUGGUGUGUUAGGGCACCUAGAGAGAUUAACUCUUAGACUAGUUUGCAUUACCAGAGAUUUAGGGUAAGGGAUCGAAAUAACCUUGAGGGAAAGGUGUUAGGCACCCCUCGCGGUCCACAACAGUGGGUCCUUGCCGAACUUAUACUUAUGAAUUAGUCCUUUUUAACAAAUAAAUAGUUUAAACACAUACUUGCAAAUAAAGGCAUGUUUUGGACACUUGCAUGACUCAAGUAAUGAAACAAAAGGAAAAGACUUGAACAAGUUGCAUACAUAGAGAAAAUGUAGAGUUUAAACAUCAGGAAUUGGAAAAGGGGGUCCUAGGUUGGUUAGCCUACAGGAUCACCCCACACAAUGCCUGGUAAACACUCCUUAACGAGGGGCUAUACGUGACAUUAGCGCGUAGUCAUCAUAUCCUUACUACCCAAUUCCCUCCCCUUGGUCAUAUCCUAAAGCGUUCUAAUAACCUUGACUGAUGUCCUAUGCAUGCACUACCCGUCCCUUCCUCGUGGCCCUGGAGGUAUUUUAGGACCUCUAUUUUUGGGCAGUUCUAGACCUUUCUAAGGUUUUAAAGGAUAAAAGUCUAGGCGUCAAUCAAGAACAGUUAGGACUGCAUUUAAAAAGAACAAAUGAUAGGCUCACAGUUACCUCCACAAAUAUAACAGAUAAAUGCACGUCUUCAAACAACAACUAGGUAUUUAAGAGAAAAUCCUAGAACAUGAUGUCUAGGUGAGCACGGAUUAUACAUUAUUGAAUUAGGACAAAGUGUCAAAAACCUAUUUAGCUUGCCUACUGAUUUAGACUUGUUAAAUCUGAACAGUUUUAAAAUAACAAAGCAUAGUUUUAUAGUUGCAGAAUUUUAAUCACCUUAUAGACUUGCAUAAGAGCAUAACAGUGGUAUCCUAAAAGCAUGAUAUCUAUAUUGAUUAGGAAUGCAGUAAAACAGUGAACAGUUUUUUAAACGGACAACUUGAGAUCCUAUAGAGAUGUUUUCUAGCGGUAUUAAUUUAAGGCAGUGUUUGAAAACUCAUUUAAAGAAAUGGACAGAUUAAUUAAACCAAUUCAGAAUGAACAUACAUGAAUUAAACUAAUUUAUUUAACAAAACUGGUUUUAAGUUCUAUUGGCAUAAUUUUUACUAGAGCUGAUUUUAAUUCCUUUAGGCAUGACAUCUAAUUAUUAAAAGCUGACUUCUGAACUUAUAGGCAUGAUUUCUAAGGAGACAAAUGUGAAUACGUGUUGUAACGAAAACUGAACCUCAAUUACUUUACACUUCAUAGUCAUGAUAUCUAAUUAUAAGGCUGAUUUUAACCCUAUAGACAUGAUCUCUAUUGUUAAAGCCAUUUAGAUCCUAUAGGCAUGGUUCAUAAUAUUGUGGCAGUAAAGCAAUCAUGGCAAACACAUGUGACGACCCAGCCGGUCGUCUUAAGAAUUAGUUCCUUGAUACCCUAUUAAUUGCUUUUCCCAAGUUUAUUUCUACUAUUUUGAUUUGCCGGGAUGUUCGGUUUUGAGUUUCGGAGAGUUUUGGGACACUUAGUUCCUAAAUGAGAACUUAAGUGUUGAAAAGUUGACCGUAGUUGGAACACUAUAAAUAUGGCCUCAUAAUGGAAAUCUGAUGGUUCCGUUAGCUCCGUUGGAUGAUUUCGAGGUUAGGAGCAUGUUCGGAUUGUGUUUUGGAGGUCCGUAGCUAAUUUAGGCUUGAAAUGCUGAAAGUUGAACUUUUGAAGUUUCCGGUUCGAUAGUGAGAUUUGAUUCGAGGUUCGGAAUGGAAUUCCGGAAGUUGGAGUAGCUCCAUACUAUUUAAUGUGACGUGUGUGCAAAAUUUCAGGUCAUUCAGACGAGGGUUGAUGGACUUUUUGAUCGAAAGCGUAUUUUUAGAGUUUUUGGAAUUCUUAACCCUGAAUUCGAUGAAAAAUAGGUGUUUUGAUGUUGUUUUAAGCGUUCUGAAGGUUGGAACAAGUUUGAAUGAUGUUGUAGGACUACUUGGCAGGUUUGGUUGAGGUCCCGGGGGCCUCAGGUGUGUUUCGGAUGCCCAACGGGUCAUUUUGGAACUUGUAAGAAUUGCAGAAAAUCUAGUAUCUGGUUUCCUUAAUCGCGUUCGCAGCCUUCCCUCCGCAUUCGUGUAGUGUAAUUUUGGAGGAUGUUUAAAUUUUUCUUCGCGAUCGCAUGAAUUGGCUCGCGAUCACGUAAGUCUGCACCUCCUCCUUUGCAUUCACACCCCUCCUUUUGCGUUCGUGUAGUAGAACUAGGAGCCGGGGGUACAAUGACCUUUUUCCCCUUCGCGUUCGCAUUGCCUUGUCCGCGAACGCGUCAGCCUGCCCUUUUCCACUUCCCCGUUCGCGUGCUUCAUCUCGCGUUUGCAUAGUCCAGUUCAGGAGCCAUCAAUUUUUCCUCUUCGCGAUUGCACGUCAUGUUUCGAGAUCGUGAUGAAUAAAACACCUGGGCAGAUUUUUAAAACCCAAAAUCGAGGGUUUGAAUCAUAAUUCAUAUUUUGAACUUGCGAGAUCGGGAGAUUGCAAUUUUUGAAGAGAUUUUCACCUGGGUGAUUUGGGUAAGUAAUUCCUACUUGGUUUAGACUAAUUUUCAUCAAUCUACAUUUAAAUCCACCCUUUAAUUUUGAAAUUUUGGUAGAAAUUGAGGGAAAGGUUCUUAGACCAAGAAAUUGAGUUUUGAUUGAGGAUUUGACAUUGGAUUGGGAUAAUUAUUAUAUGGUUAGACUAGUGAGAGUAUGAAGAUUCUGAAAAUAUAAAUUUUACCCGAUUCUGAGCCGUGGGCCCAAGGGGCAUUUUGGUCAUUUUACCUAAUUUUGCAUAUUAGCUUAGAAAUUUAAUUGUAGAAUCAGUUGCUUGAAGUGUUAUUUACAUUAUGAAAUUGAAUUGAAUAGAUUUGGGCCAUUUGGAGUCAAGUACUCGUGGCAAGAACGUGGUCUCGGGUUGAUUUUGAGCCAGUUCGAGGUAAGUGGCUUGUCUUACCUUGUGUGGGGGACUUUCCCCNNNNNNNNNNNNNNNNNNNNNNNNNNNNNNNNNNNNNNNNNNNNNNNNNNNNNNNNNNNNNNNNNNNNNNNNNNNNNNNNNNNNNNNNNNNNNNNNNNNNNNNNNNNNNNNNNNNNNNNNNNNNNNNNNNNNNNNNNNNNNNNNNNNNNNNNNNNNNNNNNNNNNNNNNNNNNNNNNNNNNNNNNNNNNNNNNNNNNNNNNNNNNNNNNNNNNNNNNNNNNNNNNNNNNNNNNNNNNNNNNNNNNNNNNNNNNNNNNNNNNNNNNNNNNNNNNNNNNNNNNNNNNNNNNNNNNNNNNNNNNNNNNNNNNNNNNNNNNNNNNNNNNNNNNNNNNNNNNNNNNNNNNNNNNNNNNNNNNNNNNNNNNNNNNNNNNNNNNNNNNNNNNNNNNNNNNNNNNNNNNNNNNNNNNNNNNNNNNNNNNNNNNNNNNNNNNNNNNNNNNNNNNNNNNNNNNNNNNNNNNNNNNNNNNNNNNNNNNNNNNNNNNNNNNNNNNNNNNNNNNNNNNNNNNNNNNNNNNNNNNNNNNNNNNNNNNNNNNNNNNNNNNNNNNNNNNNNNNNNNNNNNNNNNNNNNNNNNNNNNNGUCUGUGUUACCUUGUUAUGAAGUUGAGUUUAUUAGAGUAUUCCUUGUGUCAUUGUUGUGUGUUUUACUUUGGGACUACAGGACGGCAUCUUGGGAGAUCCCCUGUACGCAUUUACGAUUUAAGCUGAAGUGUGGGAUACAGAGAGAUCCCUAGCAGGUACAUUGAGGCUACCAAAAGAUCCUCGGGAUACCAAGAUAUCCCUAUCAUACAUUGAGGAUGCCAUGAGAUCCUCGGGAUACCAAGAGAUCCCUAUCAUACAUUGAGGAUACCAAGAGAUCCCUAUCAUACAUUGAGGAUACCAAGAUAUCCUCGGGAUACCAAGAGAUCCCUAGCAUAUAUUGAGGAUACCAAGAUAUCCUCGGGAUACCAAGAGAUCCCUAGCAUAUAUUGAGGAUACCGAGAGAUCCUCGAGAUACCAUGAGAUCCCUAGCAUAUAUGAAGGAUACCCAGAGAUCCUCGGGAUACCAAGAGAUCCCUAGCAUAUAUUGCGGAUACCGAGAGAUCCUCAGGAUACCAAGAGAUCCCUGGCAUAUAUUGAGGAUACCGAGAGAUCCCCGGGAUACCAAGAGAUCCCUGGCAUAUAUUGACGGUACUAAGAGAUCCUCGGGAUACUGAGAGAUCCCCGGUUAUUUCCUUAUGAUCAUUUUGCCUCUGUUUCAGUUAUUAAAUUCCUUGUUUUCUUGUAUUAAAUUCUUAUCGUUAGUUUCCAACUGUACUGCUUAUCUUAUACUGUCAUAUCUUAUUUUCUUUAUUUUAUCUCAUUAGGUCCCUGACCUUCCUCAUCACUACUCGGCCGAGGUUAGGCUUGGCACUUACUGAGUACCGUUGUGGUACUAAUGCCCCUUCUGUGCAUGUUUUUCAUGUGCAGAUCCAGGUACUUUCACUCUGUCUUAUCAUUCUUGAGGCGAGGCGCUUCUGUAGAGACUUCGAGUAUAUCUGCCGCGUCUGCAGGCCGAGGAAUCCCUUUUUAUCUUUUUGUAAUAGUAUAGCCCUUCAGUAUUCCCCUUUUGGUUAGACAUUUCUGGAGUUAGAGCUACUUAUGUAUCUCUUAGCUUGUGAUUCAUGGGUUUCCGAGUUUUGGAAAAAUGUAUUGGUUUUAAGAGUUAAUAUUAUGUAUGCCGAACGACAAUUUUAAACGCUAUUUUAUACACUAUUUCUGUUUAAAAUUGUUUUCUUCCACAAAUUUGGUUUAUCUUCCGCAUUUUAGGCUUACCUAGUCAUAGAGACUAGGUGUCGUCACGAUAGUUCACGGAGGACGAACCGGGGUUGUGACAAGUUUAUAUCAGAUCUCUAGGUUCAUAGGAGUCAUGGAUCACAAGCUGGUUUAUUAGAGUCUCACUGAUCGGUACGGAGACGUCUAUACUUAUCUACGGGAGGCUACGUAACCAUUAGGAAAAUUUCCACUCCAUUUUCCUUGUCGUGCGAGACUUUUGAUAUCACAAUUCUAAACUUCUAUCUUCUAUUCUCUCACCGAUGGUGAGGACACGCGCUACCAAAGAUGAUCAGGCACCCGUGCCCCUACGAUAGUCGCCAGAAGUCGGGGUCGGGGUAGAGGCCGAGGAUGCGCAUGUGGUGCAGCCAGAGCACCCGCGCGAGCUGCCACCGAGGAGCCACCAACAGUUCUAGCCAGAGCCCAGGCACCGGAUACGCCUACUGCUACUACUACUCUAGAACUUUAGGAGACAUUAGCACAGUUCCUAAGCAUAUUUGGUACAUUAGUUUAGGUGAGGUUGAUUCAGGUUGUACCAAAUACUUCACAGAUCGGGGAAGGGACCCAUACUUCAACCACCCCUACUCCAGAGCCGCGAGUUCUCAUUGUACAAGUUCCAUGUGUCAUGGCGACACAACCUGUGGUCCUAGUUCAGCGGGUGGUGAGGACCUCUCGCUGAGUAAAGGACAGGUGGGUCCAGGAGAGAGAGGACAGACAAGGUCAGGAGAGAGAUUAUAGGGAAGUGAGUAGACCUUGUAGACUGGAGAGACCCACUAGUCUUUAUUUUGGAGGAAAUGUAUGGCAUGGUAGAGGUUUUGUAGGUCAGCCAGCUCAGUUUGCAUCUCAGAUUUCACACAGCGUUUCAGGUGUUCAAGGGUCUUGGAGUACCCGUACCGCACAGUUUCCACUGUCACGUCCUCCCAAAGCUUGUUUUGAGUGUGGUGACAUAUGCCAUAUGGUGAAGGAUUGCCCUAGACUUGGGAGGAGUGCACCUCCAUAGACUUCUCAGCCACAGCGCGCUCCGUAGAGUUCUCAGGCUAUGAUCACCGCACCAGCUGCUACCCGCCAGCUAGAGGGGAAGGCCAGGCCAGAUAUUCCGCCCUUUUUGCCCGUACUAAGGCUGUCGCCUCCGAUUCUGUCAUCACAGGUAUUGUCCUAGUUUGUCAUAGAGAUGUAUCGGUUUUAUUCGAUCGAGGCUUUGCCUAUCCAUAUGUGUCUUCUUAUUUUGCUCAGCAUUUGUGUGUACCUCAGGAUUUCUACUCAUAUGGGAGAUUCUCUUGUUGUGGACAGCAUUUAUCGGUCAUUUUUGGGUGCUCUUAGUGGUUUUGAGACCAUAGCCGAUCUAUUGUUGCUCAACAUGGUAGAUUUUGACAUUAUCUUGGGCAUGGACUGGUUGUCGCCCCAUUAUACUAUUCUUGAUUGUCACGCCAAAACCGUGACGAUGUGUAUGCCAGGUGUACCGCGUGUUCAGUGGAGGGGUACUUUAGAUCACACUCCCGGUAAAGUUAUUUCUUUUCUUAAAGCUUAGUGUAUGGUUGAGAAGGGGUGUGAUGCAUAUUUAGCUUAUAUGAGAGAUGUCAGUAUUUCAGUUGAUUCAGUUCCAGUAGUAUGGGAUUUUCCCGAUGUGUUUCCAGCUGACCUUCCGGGCAUGCCGCCUGAUAGAGAUAUUGAUGUUGAUAUUGAUAUGUUGCCGGGCACUCAGCCCAUUUCUAUUCCUUCGUAUCGUAUGGCUCCUCUAGAGUUGAAGGAUCAGUUACAUGAAUUGCUUGAUAAGGGUUUUAUUCGGCCCAGUGUAUCACUUUGGGGUGCUCCUGUCUUGUUUGUGAAGAAAAGUGAUGGUUCUAUGCGUAUGUGGAGUGAUUAUCGCUAGUUGAACAAAGUGACAGUUAAGAACCGUUAUCCUUUGCCUCGUAUUGAUGAUCUGUUUGACCAGCUUCAGGGCGCAUGGGUGUUUUCUAAGAUUGAUUUGCGCUCAGGUUACCAUCAGUUGAAGAUUCGGGAGCCAGUUUGGGCUGACCAAUACCCCAGUAGCCUUUAUGCAUUUGAUGCACAAUGUGUUUCAGUCGUAUCUUGACUCAUUUGUCAUUGUCUUUAUUGAUGAUAUUCAGGUUUAUGUGCUUCAGACUCUGAGAGAGAAGAAGUUAUAUGCUACAUUCUCGAAAUGUAAGUUUUAGUUGGAUUCAGUGGCAUUCUUAGGCCACGUGGUAUCGCGUGAGGGUAUUUAGGUGGAUCCAAAGAAGCUAUAGGUCGUGCAGAGUUGGCCCAGACCAUCCUCAGCUAGAGAGAUCCACAGUUUCCUUGGUUUGGCGGGUUUCUAUCGUCGUUUUGUGGAGGGGUUUUCAUCGAUUGUAGCCCCUAUGACCAGGUUGACCCAGAAGGGUGCUCCAUUCCAGUGGACGGAGGAGUGUGAGGCGAGCUUUCAGAAGCUCAAGAUAGCUUUGACCAUAGCCCCAAUUUUGAUAUUGCCUACAGGUUUUGGGGUCUUAUACAGUCUAUUGUGAUGCCUCGAGGGUUGGCCUCGGAUCGGCAUUGAUGUAGCACGGUAGGGUGAUUGCCUACGUAUCCAGACAGUUGAAGAUACAUGAGAAGAACUACCAUGUUCACUACCUUGAGUUAGCUGCCAUUUUUCACGCCCUGAAGAUUUGGCGCCAUUGUUUAUACGAGGUUCUCUGUGAGAUUUAUACUGACCAUCAAAGCCUGCAGCACUUGUUCAAGCAAAAUGAUCUAAAUUUGUGCUAGGGGAGGUGGUUAUAGUUGCUGAAGGACUAUGACAUCACUAUUUUGUAUCACCCGGGCAAGGCCAAUGUGGUGGCCGAUGCUUUGAGUCACUGGGAGGAGAGUUUGGGGAGUUUGGCUUAUUUACCAACAUCGGAGAGGCCUAUGAUGAUGGAUUUUCAGGCCUUAACCAGCCAAUUUGUGAGAUUGGAUCUUUCGGAGCCCAGUCAUGUUCUAGCUUGCAUGAUUUCUUGGUCUUCCUUAUUCAAUCAUAUCAGGGGGCGGUAGUAUGAUGACCCUCAUUUGUUUGUCCUCAAGGACAAGGUUCAACACAGUGAUGCCAGAGAUGUGACUAUUGGUGAUGAUGGGUUAUUGAGGAUGCAGGGUCAGAUUUGUGUACCGAAUGCUGAUAGGCUUCGAGAGUUGAAUCUAGAGGAGGCCUUUAGCUUGCGGUAUUCCAUUCAACCGGGUACCGCGAAGAUGUAUCAGGAUUUGAGGCAGCACUACUGGUGGAGGCGAAUGAAGAAGGAUAUAGUUGGAUUUGUAGCUCGGUGCCUCAACUAUCAGCAGGUAAAGUAUGAGCACUAGAGACCGGGUGGGUUGCUUCAGCAGAUAGAGAUUCUGGAAUGGAAGUGGGAGCGGAUCACCAUAGACUUUGAAGUUGGGCUCCUACGGACUUUGAGAAAGAUCGAUGCUAUUUGGGUGAUUGUGGAUCGGCUGACCAAGUCUGCUCAUUUCAUUCAUGUGUGUACUACUUAUUCCUUGGAGCGGUUGGCGGAGAUUUAUAUCCGGGAGAUUGUUUGUCCGUAUGGUAUUCCAGUGUCCAUCAUUUCAGAUAGAGGUACUCAGUUCACAUCACAGUUCUAGAGGACCGUUCAGCAUGAGUUGGGUACUCGGGUGGAGUUGAGUACAAUAUAUUACCCUCAAACGGACGGACAGUCCGAGUGCACUAUUCAGAUUCUUGAGGAUAUGCUUUGUGCAUAUGUGAUUGUGUUUGGAUGGUCUUGGGAUUAGUUCUUGUCAUUGGCGGAGUUUGCUUACAAUAACAGCUAUCAGUCCAGUAUUCAGAUGGCACUAUAUGAGGCUUUAUAUGGGAGACGGUGUAGAUCCCCGAUGGGUUGGUUUCAGCCAGGUGAGGCUAGAUUGUUGGGCACAGACCUGGUUCAGGAUGCUUUGGAGAAGGUUAAGGUGAUUCAGGGUAGACUCCGUACAGCCCAAUCCAGAUAGAAGAGUUAUGCGGACCAGAAGGUUCAUGAUGUUCCCUAUAUGGUUGGAGAGCAGGUUCUGCUUCGGGUUUCACCUACGAAGGACGUUAUGAGAUUCGGGAGGAAAGGAAAGUUAAGUCCGAGAUUUAUUGUCCCUUUUGAGAUAUUGAGGCAUGUUGGGGAGGUUGCUUAUGAGCUUGCCUUACCUCCCAAUUUGGCCGGAGUUCAUCCGAUAUUCCAUGUUUCGAUGCUCCGGAGGUAUCACGGUGAUCUAUCACACGUGUUGGGUUUCAGUUCAGUCCAGUUGGACAAGGAUCUAUCUUAUGUUGAGGAGCCAGUGGCAAUAUUGGAUAGGCAGGUUAGAAAGCUGAGGUCAAAGAACAUUGCAUUCGUGAAAGUUCAGUGGCUGGACCGCCGGUCGAGAAGGUGACCUGGGAGACCGAGCAGGAUAUGUGCAGCUGUUACCCUCAUCUUUUUACUACUUCAGGUAUGUCUUUAUGCUCAUUCGAGGACGAACGAAUGUUUAAGUGUAGGAGGAUGUGACGACCCGGCCAGUUGUCUUAAGAAUUAANNNNNNNNNNNNNNNNNNNNNNNNNGGAGGUUCGUAGCUAAUUUAGGCUUGAAAUGCCGAAAGUUGAAUUUUUGAAGUUUCUGGUUCGAUAGUGAGAUUUUGAUCCGAGGGUCGAAUGGAAUUCCGGAAGUUGGACUAGCUCUGUAGUGUUUAAUAUGAUGUGUGUGCAAAAUUUCAGGUCAUUUGGACGAGGGUUGGUGGACUUUUUUAUCGAAAGCGUAUAUUUAGAGUUUUUGGAAUUCUUAAGCUUGAAUCCGAUGAAAGAUAGGUGUUUUGAUGUGGUUUUGAGCGUUCCGAAGGUUGGAACAAGUUUGAAUGAUGUUUUAGGACUACUUGGCAGGUUUAGUUGAGGUCCCGGGGGCCUCGGAUGUGUUUCGGAUGCCCAACGGGUCAUUUUGGAACUUGUAAGAAUUGCAGAAAAUCCGGUAUCUUGUUUCCUUAAUCGCGUUCGCGUAGUGUAAUUUUGGAGGAUGUUUAAAUUGUUCUUCGCAAUUGCGUAAGUCCACCCCCUCCUCAUUUGCGUUCGCACCCCUCCUUUCGUGUUCGCGUAGUAGAACUAGGAGCCGGGGGUACAGUGACCUUUUUCCCCUUCGCGUUCGCAUUGCCUUGUCUGCGAACGCUUAAGCCUGCCCUUUUCCUCUUCCGCAUUCAUGUGCUUCAUCUCGUGUUCGCAUAGCCCAGUUUAGGAGCCAUCAAUUUUUCCUCUUCGCGAUCGCAUGUCAUGUUUCACGAUCGCGAUGAAGAAAACACCUGGGAAGAUUUUUAAAACCCAAAAUUGAGGGUUUGAACCAUAAUAUAUAUUUUGGACUUGGGAGCUCGGGAGAUUGUGAUUUUUGAAGAGAUAUUCACCUGGGCGAUUUGGGUAAGUAAUUCCUACUCGGAUUAGACUAAUUUCCAUGAAUCUACACUUAAAUCCAUCCUUCAAUUUCGAAAUUUUGGUGGAAAUUGGGGGAAAGGUUCUUAGACCAAGAAAUUGAAUUUUGAUUAAGGAUUUGACAUUGGAUUGGGAUAAUUUUGAUAAGGUUAGACUCGUGAGAGUGUGAGGACUCUGAAAAUAUAAAUUUUACCAGAUUCUGAGACGUGGGCCCAAGGGGCGUUUUGGUCAUUUUACCUAAUUUCGCGUAUUAGCUUAGAAUUUAAAUGUAGAAUCAGUUACUUGAAGUGUUAUUUACAUUAUGAAAUUGAAUUGAAUAGAUUUGGGUCAUUUGGAGUUGAGUACUCGUGGCAAGAACGUGGUCUCGGGUUGAUUUUGAGCCGGUUCGAGGUAAGUGGCUUGUCUAACCUUGUGUGGGGGACUUUUCCCUUAGGAUUGGUAUUGUGAUAAUUGAAAUGCCUUGUACGUGAGGUGACGAGUGCGUACUUGUGAUAAUUGUUGAAAAUUCGAUUUUCAUUAAGUAACUUUAAUUGUGUUUUCCCUUUCUAUUUAUUCUACUUGCACUUUUAAACCUGUUGUUAGUUCGAGAAACAUGUCUAAUUGACUUAAUUGCUUUAUUUUCUUUAACUGCCUUAUUUGUAUUAUGUGAAGCAUGCUAGGUUAGAAUUAUCUGUGUUACCUUGUUAUGAAGUGUAGUUUAUUUGAGUAUUCCUUGUGCCAUUGUUGUGUGCUUUACUUUGGGACUACGGGACAGCAUCCUGGGAGAUCCCAUGUACGCAUUUACGAUUUGAGCUGAAGUGCGGGAUACCGAGAGAUCCCCAGCACGUACAUUGAGGAUACCAAGAGAUCCUCGGGAUACCAAGAGAUCCCUAUCAUACAUUGAGGAUACCAAGAGAUCCCUAUCAUACAUAGAGGAUACCAAGAGAUCCCUAUCAUACAUUGAGGAUACCAAGAGAUCCUCGGAAUACCAAGAGAUCCCUAGCAUAUAUUGAGGAUACCGAGAGAUCCUCGGGAUACCAAGAGAUCCCUAGCAUAUAUUGAGGAUGCCGAGAGAUCCUCGGGAUACCAAGAGAUCCCUGGCAUAUAUUGAGGGUACUAAGAGAUCCUCGGGAUAUUAAGAGAUCACCGAUUUUUUCCUUGUGAUUGUUUUGCCUCUGUUUCAGUUAUUAAAUUCCUUGUUUUCCUGUAUUAAAUUCUUAUCAUUAGUUUUCAACUAUACUGCUUAUCUUAUACUGUCAUGUCUUAUAUUCUUUAUUUUAUCUCAGUAGGGCCUUGACCUUCCUCAUCACUACCCGAUCGAGGUUAGGCUUGACACUUACUGAGUACCGCUAUGGUGUAUUCAUGCCCCUUCUGCGCAUGUUUUUCAUGUGCAGAUCCAGGUACUUUCACUCUGUCUUAUCAUACUUGAGGCGAGGCACUUCUGUAGAGACUUCGAGGUAUAUCUGUCGCGUCCGCAGACGGAGGAGUCCCUUUCUAUCUUUUUGUAAUAGUAUAGCCCUUCAGCAUUCCCCUUUUGGUUAGACAUUUCUGGAGUUAGAGCUUCUUAUGUAUCUCUUAGCUUGUGAUUCAUGGGUUUCCGAGUUUUGGGAAAAUGUAUUGGUUUUAAGAGUUAAUAUUGUGUAUGCCGAGCGACACUUUUAAAUGCUAUUUUAUUACACUAUUUCUGGUUUAAAUUGUUUUCUUCUGCAAAUUUGGUUUAUCUUCCGCAUUUUAGGCUUACCUAGUUGUAGAGACUAGGUGCCGUCACGAUGGUUCACGGAGGACGAACCGAGGUUGUGACAACACAUUUGAAUUAACACAACCCUAUAGGCAUGAUAUCUACCCAAUUUACCCAACUAUCCACCCAUUUUCACUAAUCACCCCAAUGUUGUUUACAAAUAAUUAUUACAGACCAGCUGAAUACAUUACAUACACAAAUAAACAAAAAGAAGAAUUUAACUAUAGGGAGCCAGAAGCAGGCGCAAAUGACUUUUCAAGCCUCCAACAGCCUCAAAUGCCAAAUUUCCAUAGAUAAUAUUAUGUCUAGUUGUGUCAGAGUUCCCUAAGGACCUCAAGGAUCCCGGGUAGUGCUCACACCUAGACCUUUCUCAACAAUAACUGAUAAAGGGAUUGUGACAUAUAAGAAUCACCUUAGGGUACAUGGAUAGGGAUAGAGGAAACAUAUAGUCAAAAACUUUAUACAACACUUAGGAUCUCAGAGACUCAGUAAGUCAUGCUAGGCAAAGAAAUAAGCAGGAAAGAGUGCAUACAUUGGACAGGACAAAAUUUUAGACAUGCUAGGCAAAGAAGUAAGCAAGAAAGAAUGCAGAAUAUAAAGAAUACAUUGAACAUGCAGAUUUUAGACAUGUUGAGCAAAGAAGUAGGUAGGAGUUCAAGUUGACCUCAUAACUGAUGAACUAAUGCAGGAAUGAAAAAGACAUAGAGUUUGGAUUCCAAAACUUAACUGAGACAUACCAGUUGAAGAAAAGGGUGCAGAAUAUAAAUCAAAUGAAGUUCCAAUAUCUAGCCUUGGCUUUCAGCCAGCUAGAUCAAUAAGUACCACAAGUAACAGCAGAGAAACAGAACUUUAGAGUGUAAGAAGUAGUGAUUUUUUGAACUAAUGUUCGCUUUUUCCAGAACUUAAAAAAAGAGGAGGUUUAUAUAGUAAUCAAAAGCUUGACACAUAAGGUAAGAGAUCAAUUAAGUAGUAAAUCAAGGAAGUCACAUGUAAAUCAGCAAGGUCUUCCCUUAAUGAAGGGACAAUUAGAUCAACGGUAAAAUCAUGCAAAGUAUUUAAGGAAAAGAAUUAAAUAAGGCUUGGUAUAGAGUAGGUAAUUAGGGCUAAAUGAAUAGUAGUUUAAUUAAGCAAACAAAUCAGUAAUAAUCAACGGAAUACAAACAAGGCAGGGAAAAAUAAUUAUGGCAAGCAAUUCAGUCAAAUCGAAUAGAGAGGUAAGAAUCAAGAGUUAAAUGGAAAGUGUUCAAAUUAAACCAGGAAAUAAGGGAUUCAUAGUAAUCAAGGGUUCAAAAAGUCAUGAAAGAGUUGGCAUGUUUAGCAUAUAAAAUAAGGUAGAACAUGAAUAGUCAAGAUUUCACAUAGCUUUAACAAAACACAUUGUUAAGCGACAUUGAUUCAAGGAGAAAUAUACAAGUCUUAGCAUGAAGGGUCAGAACGAAUACAAACACAUAAAAUCAAUGAAAGGUCAAACGAAGAUAUUCAGUAGAAGCAUGUUAGGUCAAGAAAAUCACGGGAAAUCACAAGAACCCAAAGCAAGAACACAAUCAGAUGUACUAAUAUUCAGAAAUCAAACGAAGAACCCCAAAAAUUAGGGCUUUUGGUACAAGCAAGUUAGGGUUGUAGCAGACUCAUAAAACUUAGUCAAAAUAUAUGUGAAGUAGACAUUUAAACACAAAAAAUCAUCAAACAAAUUUUAAAAAGAAAUUCCGGAAACCCUAGUUUUAGGAAAAGAUGAAAAUCACUUGAAAAUCACACGAUUCUUGUAAAGAAUUUUAAGGCUGUUGUAAAACUCACAGGAAAUAAACUCAAAUCAUCUUAGAUCUAUACAGAUCUAGGAGGUUUAGAAAAGAAAUUAGGGUUUUGAAGAGAACCAUACAGAGAUGAAGAAGCAUACUGAGAAACCCAUAGAUCAUAGCUAAUAUAGGACGAUCUUACUCGGAAUCUCACUAGAGUGGCCUGAAAUAGGAGAGAGAUGACCAUAGAUGCAAGUUACUAGCCUUGGUCCCUCGAGGGCCCUGGAGAUGGCAAGAAUAACAUGAGAGAGGCCAUCGGAGGCCUAAGAGGUGGUUAUAAACAACCAGAGAUAGCCAUAGAUGAGGGUCAGUGAGAUAGGAUUAGGGUUUGGGUUGAGAGCGUUUGAGAGCAAAGAGGAUUAGGUGACGACGGUGUAAGGUGUAAAAUGAAUUAGGUUAGAGGGGGGGUCGUUAGGUUAAUUAUGGAAAGGGGGAACUUGGACCAUUGAUCAAAAUGAUCAACGGUCAGGAUUUGGCCAGGUAUUGGGUUGGGCAGAUGGGUAUUUGGGCCUGGGUAGGUUUAGGUUUAAGAGUUGGGAUGGGUAUUGGGUUAGAAUUAAGGCUGAAAUUAAAAUAAAAAUAGGCUAGGUUUUAAAUAGUCACUUUUAAUCUUAUAUAAUUUAUAAAAAUAAUAAAUGACUUAUAAAAAAAUUGUAUACUAAAAUGAUUUAAAAUAAUUGUGUAACAUUUUAAAAAUAUAAAAGAUCAUUUCAUGUAUCAAUAACGUAAUUAUGCAUUAGUAGGGACAUUAUUGCAAAGAUAUGCAAUUUAGCUAAAAAAAUAUAAAUGCAGUUAUAAAAAUGCACUAAAAAUAUUUAAACAAUAUUUGGCAUAAAUAAAGAAUUUAGAUGGCAAAAUCACCACAAAAAUAAUUUGAAGGAUAAUUACUGAAAAUUUUAUAAAUAAAAAGGGAAGAAAUAAAUCAAUUUGGAGCUUUUAAAAACUAUAAAAAUUGCACAAAAAACUAUAGAAAUGAUCAUGCAUGCUUAUAACUGCAUAUAUGCUAUUUUGAAAGUAUAUAUAUGUAUUAAAAAAUAUAUAAGAAAAAAUUAGGUAUCAAUAGAUAUUACAAAGAAAUAUUCUGGGGGAUAUUCCUCUCAUCCGUACCAUUAGGGUUUUUGUGGCCCGUAUGACUUUAUAAAUAGAAAGAUAUGUAGUUAUGUGGGGGAGGGGGUUGGACACUCAUUGUAAAGAACAACAUAUUGAUAUUCUCUGAACAUUCGUGCUUUAUUACAUACAUACAAAAUAUAUAUUUUCUCCAAAUCUGUAUCUAACUUCUCUCCCACGAUCCAUGGAGAAUCUGAAUAUUCAAAGGCACAUCAUUCAUUUAUCAUUGUCAGGAAGAAUAUCACAUAAUUUCACCUCUUUUUCGGUUACCUCACUUACAUUUAUUUACAUAAAGUCAUUAUAUAUCAUUUAUUACUAUUUAAUGCUAUUCUUUUUAUUCUUGGGCCUUUGAAUACCGUCUACUGUUACACGUUUAUUGCUAAGAGAAUGGAACUUGUGGCAUUUUGCCACGAAAUCAGUUAAACGAUCUUUUGUAUAUUAAUAUUAGCUAAGAUUAACUAUAUUCUAUUAUAAAAUCUAAUUGUUUAAACCUAGAUCUAAAUUUUGGGUCAAACAAUAACAUCUUGGAUAAUCAUAGUGAAAAUUCGAGGCUCUAAUACAAGAAUAACAAACCAAUCCCAUCCAUUUGAAUAACUCGCAUAAAUUUAAUAGCUACACAUAUUGUCUUGCAUUUCAACUUUUUCUUCUAGUUGUUACAAUGUUCAAUGGAAGAAUAGUGACCUUUUCUUAAUUAAUCAUUUGUCGUGAUUUUGGUUUUGGAAGGUCAAACAUAUGGUGGUGGUGGCGGGUUUGGAGUAAGGAGUGAAGAAGAAGGAUUUAGAUGAGGAUUUGGGGUAGGGAGUGAAGAAGAAGGAUUUACGUGACAUGGAAAAAGUAUUUUGGAGAUAUGACAUAUUUUUGAUGUGGUAGUGAAAUGGCAAUGACGUGGAGGCGAAUGUAAUACAUCUCCCAUCCAUAGGCGAACCUAUAUAGAAUUUGGAGGUCAGGAUGUUGUGGACAUAUAAAAAAUUAUUGAGUUUUGUUCAUACAAAUUUGGAUUAAAUUCUAAAUUAUUUUGGGUCGAAUAAUUAAUUUGGACUCUAUAAAUUAAAUAUGUACAUUUUUAUAUUCAAGCCCAAGGUUUAUUUAACCUCAAAGCCCAGACUCAUGUCAUGUGUCAAGUGACAUGGCACAUCCAGUCAACCUCAAAGCCAACAAGAUAAAGCUACGUGUUAAAUGAUGUGGCAAUCGCAAUCCAAAACAAUGACCAAUCAAGAGUCGUCAAGUGUCUAAAAUGAUAUGUCAUUGCCAAUCACAAGCGAGCUUGUCACAUAGCUUUUGUGAUAAGUUUGAUGACUCACAUGAGCCGAUCAAAAUCAAGAAAGAGAGUUCAUUUGUAGCUGGACUGUCCAUCCUCUACAAGUACAAAUAGAGGGGUUACAUAACUCUCUGGGACAUUCAUAGUUGGAGAAGAGCAUUCCACAAUUGGUGAAGGCAUCCGUAAACAGAAAGAUCAAUAUUCAAGUGCAUACUUCUUCAACAAAGGAGUGGUCAAUGGAGUUCUUGCCAUAGAUCAACCUGAAAUAACAAAGUGAUGCUCCACGCUCUUGGCAAUUAAAUACAUCAUAAAGAGGUUUAAAUCAUCCUAUAUUCAAGAAAGACAUUUCUCAAACCCUCGAAUUAUAGAAAAUUUCACAGAGAAGAAUCAAGGGAUACAUAGAAUUGUACUCAUGAACAUUUAUCAAUAAAUUCUCUUUUUCUUCAUAUUUUUGUUGCAGUUUAUUUUCCGUACUAUGAAAAUUUGUUGCGAAUAAAUUUUGGCACGUCCGGUGGGACCGAUUCUGCCCUUCAUCUCUUCCUCUUGCAAGUUAAAAUUUUAGAUCUACUGCUGCAAUGGCCUUCCGAAAGUGUGAUGGUGUUUCAUACAAAUACGCUACCAUUAUCGCGUCUUUGGAUAUGGCAAUGGCCCAACCACUCGAAGAAAGUCAAGGCUAGUUGCUUGGAGAGAUCCGAAUACUUUUCCUCCUCAAAGAUGGAAAAGAAGAGAAUAUCUUACAUGACGACCGUAACCGCAAUAUCUGGGGGCAACACCUCAUUCUCGCUAUUUGACAAGAUUUCUCAAACAACUUCCAACCUUAACAGAUUUGAGGAUUUGGUGGAUUCUCCAGUUUUAAUGAAAGUCAAUGCCUUAAUGACUGAAGAAACUAACAUGGACAAAAAGUUUGCUAUGAUGGAAUGAACUAUAGAAGUCUUGAAGAAAUCUCUUGAAGACAAAGACCUUCAAAUCGCUCAACUCAUGAACAAAUUGGAGGCCUAUGCACUUGAGAGUCGAGCCACGUCUCUCUUUAUUCACUUAGCUUCACCUCAUGAAAAAUGACUAUUGAGGAAUCGCUUGCCAAGUUCAACAUUCAAAAGAAGAAGCAAUCUACUACAGUUGCGGCCUUAUCUGUCCAACAAUUGCAAGACAUGAUAACAAACACCAUCAGAGCUCAAUAUGGCGGACCAUCACAAAGUUUGUUGUACUAUACUAAGAUUUAUACUAAGCGGAUUUAUUGUAUAACCAUGUAACCAAUUAUCAACCACCAAAGCUACAUUAAUUUUGAUGGCAAAGAAAACGCAAGGUAACAUAUUGCCCACUUCAUCAAGACAUGUAGCAAUGCUAGAAUGCAUGGUGACCUUUUGAUAAAAUAGUUUGUUUGUUCGUUAAAAGGGAACACAUUUUACUGGUAUAUCGACAUUGAGUCCGAGUUAAUGAUAGCUGGGAGCAACUCGACAAGGAUUUCCUCAAUCAUUUUUACAGUAACCGAAGAACUACAAGCAUGAUAGAGUUGGCAGGCACCAAUCAUUAGAGAGAAUUAAGUUUGGACUAUAAAGAUUGCCUUUUAAAAAUAUUUGAUGUGGAGAUGAGCAUUCAACAAAUGCACUGGUGCCUUUUGUAUAUCCUACAAGGGAUCAAAUUGCGGACUUUAGAAGAACUUGCAAUGCAAGCACACGACAUGGAGUUGAGCAUCGCUAGUCACGUAAAGGAAUCUCUAUUUGUUGAUCAGAAGGAGUUCAAGAAAAGUGUUGUAUCAAAGAACCAAACUAAAGAAUCUAUAGCGGUGAAAGCAACUUCAUUGAAAGUCACGACUAAGCAAGAAGUGAAAGAGGAGAAGACCCUGAGUCAAUAUCGCAAAGAGGAGAAACAUCACCCAACCUUGAAGGAAUUAAAGGUGAUUGUUUAUCCAUUUUCAUAUUGAGAAGUACCCACAAUCCUUGAUGAAUUACUAGACUAAAAAACCAUUGAUCUCCCUGAAUCAAAAAGGCCUGAGGAAACUGGUAAAGUUGGCGAUCCGAAAUACUGCAAGUUUCAUCAUGUCAUUGUCCACCCUACAGAGAAAUGCUUCAUCUUGAAGGAGAAAAUCAUGUCUCUUGUAAGUGAAGGAAAAAUUAUCAUAGACACGGAUAAAACGGCGGAAGAAAACCAUGCAAGUGUCGCGCCUAAGGAAAGAAGCGUUCAAGGUUGCAGAACGUGUCAAGCAUUUCCUUCUUACAAUUUGGAAGUUUCGAUCCUGUUGAAGUUGAUCUUCCAAGGAAUGCUCUUGAAGGUUCAUCAGAGCUGGGAAAUUAUACCAAAGACAAUAACGACGAGUUUUGGACUCUAGUCACUAGCAAAAAACGAAAACAUAAGGCAAUUUUGAGGCUACGAAUUCCUAAGCCAAGAGAGAUGAUGAGCAAUGUGGAUAGGCUACAAUCGUUAAGAAACAUCAAAUCUUCUACUAGCAAGAAGAUUAAGGGUGCCUUAUCACAAAAGUUCCGAAAGCCCAUUACCUUGCAUGAAUUCUUUCCUAUGACAUGUUGUGCAACAAUUUCCUUCCCAGAUGAUGACUUUUUGCUAGGGUCUAGCCACGUAACAAACCUUUAUUUGUCGUAGGGGUCAUUUGGGAACAACAUCUCAAUUGAAUACUUGUUGAUGUUGGUUCGGCUAUCAACAUCAUGCCAAAGAUAGUGCUAAAAAAGCUUGAGAUCUUUAUCAAUGAGCUAUAACAAUCCAAAGUAUUAACCAAGGAGGACAAUGAGCCAUAGGUAUGAUCCGUGUAUGAUUAUCCAUUGGUGAGAUGAAGCCAAACACCCUGAUUCACAUCAUAGAUGUUAAAACAUCAUAAAACUUGAUGCUUGGACAUCUUUGGAUUCAUGAAAAUGGAGUAGUGUCGUCUACUUUGCACCAAUAUCUAAAGUACAGAAGGGAUGGAGAGAUAGCCAAAAUUGAUGUAGACAUCAAUCCUUUCACUGAGACAGAUUCAUACUUUGUAGAUGCAAAAUUCUACCUAGAUUCUUAUGAAUUGAGUGCGGAGAAACCAUCAUCAGCCGGUGAAGUUGAUGUCAAUUCAAAAGAAGAAAAUUAGGCUCAAUGGACUACUGUCAAGCUAUCUAAGAAGAGAAUAGAAGAAGUAUCCAAUAAGCUAGCAUCAUCAGAAGGUGACAUACAGACAAUGACUAAUAAUGAGCAUCUAGAUUUUCGCUAUGUUCCGUGUGAACGUCGAAACAAAGUGCAACCUCUGUUAGAGCAAUGUACUCCAAAGAAGCAAAUGAGUCACAAAGCUAUCAAAGAUGAACAAACGCCAUCCGUGACUUGUGAAAGGCAAUACCCAAAUUGAUAAAAUAAAAGGGCACUUUGCUCCAAAGGUUUUCACACUACUUGAAAAGUCUGGUUAUGACUUCUCUAAUCUAUCAAGGCUAGGAGAGCUCAAAGAUAAAUUCAUUGGUGAAAAGAUACAUGGUUUUACUGAGUCCCAAAUAAGGUUGAGGAAGCAAGGGCACUACGUUGCCACUCCUAAUUUUUGGAUAUGAUUAAGUUUGGCUGAGUCUCUUCGAAUUUCAUCUAAGAGAGGCAAAGAGAUGGCUCCAUCACAAUACACCUCGGUAGAGAAGAAGAAGGAAGUUAAAUAUAAGAGAAUAAAAUAACUUGCUUCAGUGUUUGAUCGUGUUGGAUGCUCAACACCUCGUGUCUCGGUGUUUGAAAGGCUAAGUCACAAAAGUGAACGUGUGUCUUCCAAACAUCCAAAGUGAGUGACCUCUACCUUAAAGACCUCCAUCUUUUAUCGGCUGGGAACUACAAGGAAGUCACCAUCUAGAAAGAUAUUGUCAAAAUAUGAGGAGCAAGGUCAUUGUGAAGUUGUUGCUGAGAAGUAAAUUCGUAUUGCUUUCCCAUCACGUAUGAAAAGGAAGCCUAUUUUGUCAAUAUCCAUAGAUGGUUCGCAGAAGGUGAAAAGGAAUACCAUCGUUUACACUUGCCAGCCUCAUAGAGAAAUAAAGAAAGAGGAAGAAGCCAUGCUGACCAUCCAACAAAGUCAAAGGGAAAAGUCAGACUUUGUGGAAACAUCCCAUCACAUAACAAUAGAAGAUAGCCCAUGCUUUGACGUUGACAAUAGAGUCCAUGAGGCUCCCCCUCAACUAGAAUAUGGCAGAAAAUUAACUAUAGUUGAGCUUAAGGAACUCAAUUUAGGCACUCUGGAAGAUCCACGCCCAACCUUCAUUAGUGCACUUCUUAUGCUUCAAAAGGAGGAGGAAUACUUAAAAUUGUUGACUGAGUACAAAGAUAUCUUCACUUGGUCAUAUAAAGAGAUGCCUGGCCUUAGUUCUAAGGUCUUUGUUCACCAUUUGGGGAUCAAAAGUGUAGCACGCCCUGUGAAGCAGCCACAAUGCAUGUUUCGACCCGAGAUAAUACCACAAAUUGAUGCCAAAGUCAACAAGCACAUUUAGGCAGGAUUAUUUCGAUAGCUGAAGUAUCCAUCAUAGAUCUCGAAUAUUGUACCUAUCAAGAAGAAGAGUGAUAAAAUAUGUGUUUGUGUUGACUUUUGAGACCUAAAAAGGCAUGUCCAAAAGAUGACUUUUGUCUAUCAAUUAUUGAACCCAUGGUUGAUGCUACAACAAGGUAUGAGGCUAUGUCAUUCAUGGACGGGUCCUCCGAAAACAAUUGAAUCAGAAUAUCUCCAAAAGAUGAAGAGUGUAUAGCUUUCUGAACUCCAAAAGGGAUAUAUUGCUACAAAGUGAUGCCCUUCAGUCUAAAGAAUACUGGUGCCACCUACCAACGCACAAUGUAAAACAUCUUUGAUGGCAUUCUCCAUAAGAGGGUUGAAUGCUGCAUCGAUGACUUGGUGGUGAAGACAAAGAGUAGGCGUUACCACUUUGAAUUGUUUUUGAAAGGUUAAGAAAAAUGAAUCCACUCAAAUUUUCAUUUGGAGUUAACUUAGGAAAGUUUCUUGGCUUCAUUGUGCAUCAUCGUGGAAUUGAAGUUGAUCCUGCAAAGAUUGAUGUCACUCAAAAAAUGCCCGAGCCAAAGAACUUGAGGGAGCAUCGAAGUUUCCAAGGAAACUUAGCAUUCAUCCGGAGGUUCAUCUCUAAUCUAGUCGGACGGUGUCAACCUUUCAAUCAUCUAUUAAGAAAGUAUAUCUCUUUUUCAUUGGGAUCAGUCUUGUCAAAAUACUUUUGAAAGUAUAAAAAGGUGCUUGAUGAAUCCGCUUAUGUUAAGGGCGCCAAUGAUACUCUACAUUGUGGCACAAGAACGUUCACUUGGGGCACUACUUGCUCAAGAGAAUAAGGAAGGAAAGGAACAUACCUUGUACUAUGUCAGUCAAACUUAAUAGGAGUUGGGUUGAACUACAAGCCUAUUGAGAAAAUAUGUUUAGCGUUACUUUAUGCGAUAAAUAAGCUAAGGCAUUAUUUUGAAGCAUGGAACAUCAAACUCAUCUCUCGAGCAGAUCUCGUGAAGUUCAUGAUGACUCAACCUGUUCUUUCUGAAUGCCUAGCAAGAUGGUCUAUAUUUUUUAACCAAUAUGAGAUCACAUACACACCUCAAAAGGCUGUGAAAGGACAAGCACUUGCCAAUUUUCUAGUUAAUCACUCUCUUCUGGAGAAGUGGGAGCUUUCUGAUGAGUUUCCACAUGACGUUUUGAUCAUUGAAGAACUGCCACCAUGGACAAUGUUCUUUGAUGGAUCUACAUAUCAUAAUGGUGUGGCGCAGUUGUUAUGUUGAUCUCUCUAGAAAGACAAGUCUUGCCAUUCUCAUUUGUUUUAGAUGAAACAUGCUCCAAUAAUGUCGCAGGGUACCAGGCUUUGAUUAUCAGUCUCAAAAAGACAUUAGACAUGAAGAUUCUACAAUUGAAGAUCUAUGACAACUCUAAGCUGAUCAUCAACCAACUUUUUGGGAGUUAUGAGGUAAAGAAGGAAGAUAUUUUACCAUACUACCAAUAUGCUUCUUGUUUACUUGAAAGAUUUGACCAAGUGUUCUUAAGCCACGUCCCAAGAGAAGAAAAUUGCAUGGCUGAUGCUUUGUCUCACUUGGCCAUGACAAUGGCACCUGGAGAGAAAGAGUCAACAAAGGUACAAAUAUGUCAUCGAUAGAUUAUUCCUAGACUUCUUGAUCUUCAAAUCAAUGAAAUCCAUCAUUACGUCUGUUCGGGUGAUUGAAGAAGAAAAUUGGAGGCAACCAUUGAUAGAGUACCUUAAACAUGGAAAGUUACCAAAGGAUCCUCGAGAAAAAAAACAGACAUCACGCGAAGGGCACCAAGAUUCAUCUUCUAUAAAGAGACAUUGUUUCGCCGUCCUUUUGAAGGAAUAUUCUUACAAUGUAUUGAUAAAUAAGAAGCCCGCUAAGCAAUGGAGGAAGCACAUUCCGUCUCAUGUGGAGCACACCAAUCUGGUCCCAAGCUCCAUUUUUGCAUCAAGAGGAUGGGCUACUCCUAGACGACAAUGGUGAAAGAUUGCAUGUGUCAAACAUGUCAAUUUUAUGCGAACUAUAUCCACCAACCUCUAAAGCCUCUUCAUCCAACUGUAGCUUCAUAGCAUUUUGGUGCAUGGGGACUUGACAUUGUUGGACCACUUCCAAAGUCAUUAAAGGGAUAGAUGUAUAUAUUCGCUACCACAAACUACUUCUCUAGAUGGGAUGAAGUUGUUCUACUCAAGGAAGUGAAAAGGAAACUGUUACCGAUUUUAUCAAGUCAAAUAUAAUUUGUAGGUAUGGCAUACCAAGAUACAUAAUCAUAGAUAAUGGAACUCCAUUUAACAACAAGCUCGUAAGGAGUCUAUGUGAGAAGUUCGGUUUCAAGCAACAUAAGUCUUUAAUGUAUAAUGCACCCGACAAUGGCCUUACUGAAGAUUUUAACAAUACGGUUGGUAACCUUUUAGAGAAAGUUGAUGCAAAGAACAAGAGAGUUUGGCAUGAAAAAAUUGGUGAAGCUUUAUGGGCAUAUCGGACAACCUUAAGAAUUACUACACAAGCAACUCCUUACUCUUUGGUGUAUGGUGUAAAACCAGUCCUUCCACUAGAGCAACAAAUUCCAUCAUUAUGGAUCGCGAUCCAAGAAGGACUCACACUCGAAAAGAAUGCUCAACUUUGCAUAGAAGAGUUAGAGGCAUUGGAUGAGAAAAUAUUGGAAACACAAUAAAAAUUGGAGUGCUAUCAAGCUCGACUAGCUCGAGCCUUCAACAAGAAAGUGCGGCCACGAUCGAUCCAAGUAGGAGACUUGGUCCUAGUUGUUCAAAGACCCAUAAUCCUCAACAAACUCAUAGGCGACAAGUUUACUUCAAAAUAGGAUGGGCCAUAUAUUGUGAAAGAAGCAUAUCCAAGUGGCUCAUACAAAAUUGUUGAUAAAGUAAGUUGGUCCAAUCAAUGGCAAAUUUCUGAAGCAAUACUUCCUAUGAAAUUCAUCUACACUCCUCGACCUAUGAGCCUAAACUGUAAGUUAUGAUGCUCCUUGACGCAUGAACCUAAACUAUACAUCACAACGCUCCUUGAUGCAUGAGCCUAAAUUGCACGUCACAACGUCCUUGACAUAUGAGCCUAAAUUGCACGUCACAAUGCUCCUCGAUGCAAGAGCCUAGAAUGCAAGUCAUGAUGUUCCUUGAUGCAUGAGCCUAAACUGCACAUUGCUACACUCCUGGCCUGCAUGAAUCUAAACAGUGUACGACCAACAACAAAAAAGUCUUCUAGGUUGAAAACUUCGAAAGAGAUGGCCUAGGCAAAAGUUAGGACCAAAAAUAAAAGUAAAAUAAAAUAAAUUCAAAAAAGAAGCUCAUCUCUCUAAACUAUAUUAUGACUUGAUCCUCUUCACCGAGGUACAUAGGCAGCUUAGAGUUUCAUUCUAAGUUCCGUCAAAUGAGUGUUUAAAAAAAAGUUUGGCGUCAUAGGAUCAUCAUAUUAACUCUUUCAAAUACAGAGGUAUAUGUAAAUGAUGAAAAGAAGAUAAUUUGGCACCAAAGCAUAAAAGACAUUUCAUUGCUUCAAUUGAAAGAAAUAUGUAUAUCAAUGAUAAAAGCAGAAUGAGACAUUAUCCUAUACAAAGAAUCUAUAGUCAUGUAAAUGAUAGAAAGAUAAGCAUGGUUGCCACCUUGUUCGAGACUUCUUCAUAUGAUGGAUCAUCCUUGAUGGCGUGCUCAUAGCAUUUAGCUGCUUCCAUAAUCCUUUAACUAUACGUCUUGUUGUUAAGUCGUGGGCGCAAUGGUCUACUUCUUCUUUCACAUACAUGAGCAUGUACCUCGCUCUCACAAGUUCCAUAAUUAUGUGAGCACCUUGGGUAAGCUUCAUGGAUAUCAAAAUUUCGAGUAUACACAACUUUUGGGAGAUGAGUACUUUCACAUGAUGAUCUCUCUACAACAAGUUUGUCUUUUGCAUGAAGAUUUUACUUGUUGCUUAUUGCUCCAAAUAUGAAAAUAUCCUCAUCUUGUGUACCUUGUUAGUCUGACACCGAGACGUUUUGAGCUCCUUUGCAAGUUUGCAAAAGAAAUAAAUAAGGAGAUAGAUUUGUGAUGAUAGCCAAAUCUAUUACAUGCAAGGCUGUAAAAUCAAUUUCAAAAAUAUUUGUUAGACUAACUAAGAAUGAAUGGAGCCUCUAUAUUAAACAUGAUUAUAGUUCUUGAUGUUCAAAUUUCAUUGGAUCAAACUGUUGGUGAUUCGGACGCCCCUAGAUCAAGAUACAGUUUUUCUUGUCGAAAGUACGCAAACCUGAAAGCUCCUUUCGGUUAGGCCCACUUCGAAAAUUUGUUGUUGAGAGACCAAACGAAGUUAUGCCAUACAAUUUAUAUGAAGUCUCUGAGUUAUCUCUCUAAUGGCAUAAAAGGGUGGCAAUUUGGAGAUUCCUAGCUCGAGAUAUGAAUUUUUCGACGAGAGUGCGCAAAGCUGAAAAAUCUAGUAUGUCAGACGUCUAGAUAAAUUUCAAGAUAUUUCUGGGGCCAAUCUGGAAGUAAUACUUCUACAUUAUUUUGAGAGUCUCCUUAUCUCUGAGUCUUCUUUCCAGUGGCGUAGAUGGCUCGCGAUUUCAAUGUUCCUAGCCCAAUAUAAAAAAAUCAUCUAGAGUGUGCAAAUCUAGUAAUUGAGUGCAACAGAUGUCUGUAGAAACUUCAAAUUAUUAUUGCAGAUGUUUAGAAAGGAUUUUCGUUGUGGUAUUUACAGAUAUUGUGGGUCUCGGAGUUUUCUUUCCAACAGUACAGGUGGCUCGUGAUUCUGACACCCGUAGCUCAAGAUAUGAUUUUUUUUACAAAAGUGUGCAAAGCUGAAGAGCCUUUUCGGCAGACAGAUGGAUCAAGUUUAAGAAAUUUCUAGGGCCAAUAUGGAAGGAAUCCUUCCAGAAUAUCUUAAAGAUUUCCUUAUCUGAGUUUUCUUUCUAAUGGCGCAGACGCUCAUGAUUUGGGCACUCCUAACUCGAGAUAUCGAUCUUUUGGCGAGAUUGUACAGUAUUGUGAAGUUGAAAUGCCGGACAUGUGUAUCAGUUUCAAAAAAAUAUUGCGGCUAAUCCUCAAGGAAUUUGGCACUGAAUUUUUUAAAUGUUCCAAUCCCUCGCCUCUAGUUCUUUAGGAAGAAGUAUCUUGUGAUUUCAUCGCUCUUGCAUCGAGAAAUAAAUAUUUUUACAGAGACACGUUAGGUGCUUGCUUGCCGAAGUUGGAAAGGCCUACUCCAAUUGUCUUCCUCGAAAACCUGCAACAAUACGAUGUGGUACAUGUUCGCUCACCAAUGAUGAAAUAGUGUCUCUCCAAGCCUCCAAGAGUAGGGAUUUUCACCAAGGUUGAAAAGGGUUACUCCUAGUGUCACUCGCCGAGCCGAAAGGAGGAAUGUCUCGUGUAUAUUCUUAGUGAUAUCAAACAUAUUUCCCUAUAUUAAAAAAUUGCACAAAAAAACAAAUAUUAUGGAGGCCUUGGUGCUAAUAGCACAAAGUUUAUGUCAUAUGAUACUAUUAGCACGAUGCUUUAAUUCAGCAUAAUGUAAAUUGGUCCAACGCUGUAAUGACCCCACCGGUCGUUUUGAGCUCUAGCACGUUGUUCAGCAGUUUGAGGUCAUAAGCAGCUUCCCUUCAGGUAUUAUAACUUGUACGCGUGGUCGAAAUUGAAUUUCAGGAAGUUCAGAGUCAAUUUGGAAAGAGAAUUCUCAUUUCGAAAGCUUUAAGUUGAAAGAAUAGACUAAGAUUGGAUUUUUAAGUAAACGACCUUGGAAUCGGGAUUUGAAGGUUCCAGUAGGUUCGUAUGAUGAUUUUGGACUUGGGUGUAUGUCCGGAUCGGGUUUCGGAAGAACCGGGAAUGUUUCGCCACCUAUUGUGGAAGCUAGAAUUUUUGGAAGAAUUUCAUAAGUUUGGGUUGAAGUGCAUUUCAGUAUUAUCGAUGUCCGUUUGGGAUUCCGAGUCUAGGAAUAGCUUCGCAUGGUGAUUCUGGUGUUGGGAGCGCGAUCAGAAGUGAAUUCGGAGGUCUGUGGGUCAUUGUGGGAUCAUUUGGCUAAAGAUAGAAAUUUGAAGAUUUUCGAGAAGUUUGACCAGAAGUGGACUUUUUGAUAUCGCGGUCAGAUUUCGAUUCCGGAAGUUGGAGUAGGUCCGUAAUGUCAAAUAUGACUUGUGCGCAAAAUUUGAGGUCAAUCGGACGUGAUUUGAUGAGCUUAAACAUCGUAAGUAGAAGUUUGAAAUCUUAAAGUUCAUUAAACUUGAAUUGGAGUGUGAUUAAUGGUUUUAGCGUUGUUUGAUGUGAUUUGAGGCUUCGAGCAAGUCCGUGUUAUAUUUUUAGACUUGUGCGGGUGUUUGGUUUGGAGCCACGGGGGCUCGGGUGAGAUUCAGGAUAGCUUCAGAGUGAUUUGCUAAGAAAUGGGACCGCUGGCACUGGUAUGACUGCAUUUGCGGUGUUUUGGUCGCAAAUACGACCAUCGCAUUUGCGAGAGGGAGCUCGCAGUUGCGAACCUAGGGCUGUUGAGGGGAGAUCGCAUUUGCAAGGGGGCCAUCUCUUUUGCGAUGCUGUCCUCUUCGCAUUUGCGAGGAAUUUUGUCACAAAUGCGACCAUGUCAGGGGGAAGUUGGGUUUCGCAUUUGCGGUGCCUUUGUCACAAAUGCAACCAUCGCAAUCGCGAGCUGGGGGUCGCAAAUGCGACUUAUGCGUCUGGGGAAAUGGCUUUUAUUUCGAGACUUAGCCCAUUUCCCUCAUUUCCUACUUGGUCUUAGGCGAUGUUUUAGAGCAUUUGAGGAGGGGUUCCAUCAUCACAAAGAGGUAAGUAAUUUCUACACAACAUGAGUUAAAUAUUAGGGAAAAUCAAGGGUUGUAGAUGAAAAACCUAGAAUUUGGUAAAAAAUUCUUCAACCACGAAAUUUGUUAGGGAAUGGAGUAAAAAUCAUAUAUUUUUUAUCCUUAGGUUAUGGGUAACAACUUUCUUCAAAAAUUUCCGGAAUCCAGGCACGUGGGCCCGAGGAUGAAUUUUAGGAACCUUACAUUUAGGGAUGAGAAAUUGGUUUAAUAAUUAGAAUAUGAACUUUUGAGCAUGUAUUGACUAGUUCUUACCCUAUUUGAAUAGUUUUGGAUCGUUCGACUUUGAAUUGGAGGUUUGAGCGCAUUCUUGAAUCGGAAUAUAGGCUCCGGAGUGAGGUGAGUCUCCUUUCUAACCUUGUAAGAGGUAAUUGUCCCCAUAGGUGAUUUAAUUGAAUAUGUGUUGCUAAUUGUGCAGGCUACGUAUGCACGAGGUGACGAGAGUCCGUGCGUAGCUACUAUUAUGCUUAUGUCCGGGUAGUCUAGAACCCAAAAGCAUGCUUGCUUGUAAUAAGUGCAAUCUUAUUAAUAGUUUAAAUUGCUUAAAUCAUAUCGAAGUGGCAAAUAAUUUUCUAAAAGAGUUAAACUCCAUUUUAUGACUUAAAAAUGGGAAAUUUCACCCCUUUCAAUAAUUGUUUCCUUGAUGAAUGUCCUGAUGGACUAUUUGAAUAUGUGUUUCUAUGUGUACCAGUGUCGCAUGUAUGAUUCGCGAGCAGGGUGAUUGAUUAUUUACAUUUGACCACGUCGCACGUAUGAUUCGCGAGCGGGGUAAUAGAUGCAUCUAUGGUUCGCGCCGUUCGACCCUCGGCAGUGCACAAUUUACAUUUAUAUUGGAUCGGGCCAUACGACCUCGGCAUGAUAUGCACAUGCCUGUAUUGUUUGCCGGAGAUUUAUAAAUGUUGAUAUUUGUCUUUCCUGGUCGGAGAUAAAUUGAUAAAGAUAAUGAAAAGUAAAUCUUUGGAAAUGCAUUAUUAUUUUGGGAAGUUGUUUACCUGUUAUCUAACUUUAUGAAUUAUAAUUGUUUGUUUUAUAAAAUCCAUGACCUCCUCACCUUUUCACUAUAUUUUUAUUUGGACCACUAUUAAGUGUCGAAGUCGACCUCUCGUCUCUACUUCUUCAAGAUUAAGCGGGAUACUCACUAGGUACACAUUGUUUUCAUACUUAUACUACACUUGUUGUGCAUUUUUGUUGCACAGGUUCAUGUGUGGCUAGUGGCAUAGCGGCAUGGUUGAUACGGGGACUUAGGUGAGCUGCAUCUUGUGAGACGAUCCGCAGCCAGUAGAGUCUCUCUCAGAGUACUGUACUGUAUUAUUUUAUUCCUAUCCAAUUGUAUCCCGGACAGUUAGUGUAUUUUAUUUCAUUCCCUAGUAACUGCUCAUGCACUUGUGACACCGGGUUCUGGGAUGAUUAUGGGAUUAUUUGUUAUUAAGUUUGUAAAUAUAUAAACAUUUAUUCAGUGAAAUUUAUUACUUAUGGUUUAAUGUAAAAAGGAAACGAUUUCAAAAAAAAUAUUAAAAUAAGAAAAUUAAUAGUAAAUUGGCGUUGGCUUGCAUGACAAUGGUGUCCGGCGCCAUCAUGAUACUUAGUGGAUUUUGGGUCGUGACAAACGCCAUAAAGCUUUUUGAUGUUUUAUAUUUCAAUACCACACAAGAAGGGGGUGAUAUGUGUGGUACCCAAUUUUUACUUAACUUGAUUAUAGAAGAACCUGGUUCUUCUAUGUGUUUUAACUAUUACUGUUGCGGAAUUAUAAAUACAGAAAUUAAAAAACACAGAGAUUUUACGUGAAAAACACCUGGCUCAAAAGGUGAAAAAAACCACGACCUACUUUCCAGUAGGAUUUUCCCAAACUCUCCACUAAAAUUACUGAGCCAAAAACUGUAUUUACAAAAACUCUUUUGUAAACCUACGAUUAACUCUAAUCCCGUUGUGGCACACGGCCUCAACUAUUGCGACAACUUCAAGUUAACUCUAACUUGAAAGACUCUGAGUACCUAAUACAAUUGCUUCUAGAUAAAGCUGAAAGGUACCAUAUAAAACCACCUACUACAAUUGAACUAGUAUAAAAGACAGACACUUAGAACUGGUUCUUCUAUCUGGUUCAAGUAGCUUCAGGUUUGCACGCUUGAAUCACACAUAAAUUGCUGGCAAAAUUGCCUUGCUAUUUUGCUCUGAAUUCACGUUUAACUUCUGCUUAUGUGCAUUACCUAUAAAAGAGAACAACACUGAUAUUUAUGGAGUUAGUAAAAGAGAUUGACUAGAAUACAUAUAUUACUCUUCCUUGGUGGAAGAUUUCUAGUUGGUCUCAUCUUCUAACUCUAUCCAAUUCUUAAGUUGUGUUUCUCUUUGUGUAAGGAGUAUUUCUCCUUAUCUAAUAUGCAACAUUUUCGAUCAGGAUCAUGAGAUAUCAUUUCUGGUAAGUUAGGUUUAUCUCCUCCACGUACAUCUCACAUGUUUGAGUUGAUCGUAACUGUGCUUCACAAGAUGGACCUGGUCCAUAUCCGAGUUCCUUUGUUAGUCUUCAAAACUUCACCUUUACUUGGGCCAACAAAUUUUCCCUUUUUGAUGAUGACAAACUCUGUGCUUUUCACUCACUUAGGCCCUGUCAGAACUCAGCUUAUCUAUCAAUACAAAGUUAGAAAAAUUUACUAAUCAUCAAGGACCAGGUUCAUUAGGUUAUAAACAUCACUUAUUAAUAAUAUAUAAAGCACAAUAUCUCUUCCCCCUUUUGGCAUCAUCGAAAAGUUGCAUAAACAAAGUGUGAUUCCCAGAAUUUUAACAAUUACUCAUGGCCACUAGGGCAACUGUAAGUGCAAUCAUGGAUUAAUCAUCAGUAAUCAAACAAACAUAUUCAAGCUAUCAAGGAAAUAUUAACAAUCACCAAGAGCAGAAAUAGUAGAAUUCAUUGAUAGAAAAUAUGAUUCUGCCACAAUCCACAAAAAAAAAGCAAAAAUAUUCAAAAUAUGACCAAAAGAAAGAGAAAUCCCUAAUAUGGGUCACUGGUGGUACUAGACAAUGUCAGGAAAUGAAGGCUAGAAGUCCUAAGGCUUGGGAGAGUUACAUGAUUGAUUUUGGGCUUGGAGAAGGGUCAGCAUAUUAUGAAGAAUGUCAUCAUUCUUCUCAUUUUCCUUGGAGAGCUCAGUUCUGAGAGCAUCCCUCUUAGAUUCAACCUCUAUUAAGCGAGCCUUCAGCCUAGCUAUCUCAGCAUCUUUUGCUCCACUCUCUUGCGCUAGGGCUCUGACUUUGUUGUUUAUAGGUGUCUUCCUGGAUGAACUAGGUUCAUUGAAAAUGGCAGUAAUCUCAUAAUCACAAGCAAUCAAAGUGUUGAUUCCAAAAUGAUCUUUGCUUGUGGUCAUUUCCACUUCUUUAGUGGCACCUUGCAGCGAUCAAGAACAGUAGUCAGAAUAAACCCAUAAGGAGUGGCAUGGGCCUUGGAGCCAUUAAUAACUCUGUCCAGUAGCUUGAUAAUAAACGCAGGCCAGUUGAUCUGCCUUCCACUUUUAAGACACUCCAUUAGCACCAAGUCCAUAUGAUUAGCAGUGUGUCUUCUUUCCUGUCUAGGCAGCAAACACUUGUUGACAAAUUCAAACAAGACUUUGUGGCAUGACUUCAUUUCAAUCUUUUGCAUAGCCUUAGCCUCAUUCACUUCUACAACAUCACAGAAUCUCCUAGUGAUUGCAAGUGUGAGCACCUAAUUUUUGCCCCAUAUAAAAAUAACUACUAAAAAUAAAUCAAAAAUAAUUUUAAUUGAUUUUUAGGAGUUUUUUUAUUUAGUUGCAUUCCAUGCAUGUUUAAUAUUUUUAAAAUCAUAAAAAAUCAUAAAAUUUGUCACGUUUUAAUUUCAUGACAUCUUAAGUUCAAUUUGCAUGUAGGAAUUAAUUUUAUUAAACAAAAAUUACAAAAAAAUUACUACAAUAGUCAUGUCAACAUUUUAGCUUUCAGUUUUAAAUUAAUUAGUGUUAAAUUAGUAAAAAUAAGUAAGAUUAAUUUUCCAAAAUAAUUUAAGUUAGAGCCUAAUUUAGGAUUUUAUUUAGCUUAUUUAAUUAAUUCAAUUAGAUUUUUGAAAUAAAAAAUAAAUAUAUAUAUAUUUGGUCUUCUAAUUUCGUUUGGGCCAGCUUAAUUUUAAGCCCAAAAUUUAAUUUGAACCCUAAAAAUUCCAAAUUAUCCAAGCCCAUACAACGUCAACACACUACCCAAAUACCCAUUUCCCUUUAUUAAAAGCCCACCUCCUACACUCUAAUAUAUACACACAUUCGAGCUUAAGACAAAAAUCAGAAGACCCUCUCAGAAAGAAAAAAAACGGCACACCUUCCCUCGAUCUUCUUCUUCAUUUUCAUUUCUCAAAACCCCAACCCCCUCUCCUUCCUCAUCUCACUCAUCUGAUAGUACACACUCAAAGACGGAGCUCCCCCUUUCAUUCGUCAACAGAGAACACGGACAAGAAUAGGAGUCGGACAGAAUUUUUAUAGAGGGAGCUCGAACCCAAAUCUGAGGUCCUAAAAUCCAAAACAAAAAAGGGUAGAGAUUUAGAUUGAUUUUGCAUUCAAACAGUUCGAAAAAGCAGAAAAUGUUAUGGUUUGUUCUUGUUGAUUCAAGGAAUCUUUCUUUGUCAUUUCGUUGAAUUUCGAGUUUGGUUUGAAUCCGAAAUUGAAGUUGAGUAUGUUGUUCUUGAGCUGUUGAAUUCCGUGUUCAAUUCCAGCCUUUAUUUGGGUUGUUUUUUUCUACAAUUUCCCUGCUAUUAGGUAUGUAUUCCUUUAAGCUAUGUUCAGAUUUACUAUGAUAUGGAAUUGUGUUUAUUGUCUAGCUCAUUUUUUUAAGCUAUGGUCGAAUUCGAUUUCA
rnacentral:lncRNA from 1 species